UGUCUUGACUAACAUCACCAUCGCCUUCUAUCGGAGUUAAACCAUCUGGAAUAGUCUCAAAGGUAAAAUCAGUGAAACCAUCAAAGGCUUUUGGACCUCUUGAUUUGAGCAAACGUUUGUGAUUGUAUUCGGUGUUGACAAAGGUUAUGUGAAAGCCUCUAAGAUGAAGAAGUUUUGCUAGUUUUAACAACGGAUUGAUAUGGCCUUGAAGUGGAUAUGGAGUUAUCACUGCAUGUGGCUUAAUUCUCUCUGCAAAAUUGCUCAUGUUUGAAUUUGUGUGUGUAAGAUAAGUUUAAGAAUAAAGGGAUACAAGUGAUCUUUGCUUUAAUAGAGAGAAAAUGUCAUCUUCAUUGUUUGGUGUAAGAAAAUGAGGGAAGUACAAAGGAUAAGUGUUAUACCCUGUUUUUGGACCUAAAAAUACUGGGCCCAAUUUCAUUUCAAACUUUGUCAAUUAUCAAAUUUCAACUGCACAGUUCAAAUUGUCUCUGCCUCGCAGUAUUUUUCAAUCACAAUUUUACCUAUGUUUUUCUUGCAUAAAACCUUUCGAAAUGUCUUUACUUGUCUUGUAAGUCAUUCAAAAGUGUCUCUGAAUCAUUACAUUGCUUUUUCCACAGUUUAUUUCAAAAUUUGCAAAGAAGUCAUACAGAAGGGUAUUUUGGUCAUUUCCCGCAGUGGGACCCAUUUUCAUCCUUGUGACUGUCUCUGAGUCUUUUCAAAUUCAUUUUUAACUUUCCAUCAGUAAACCUUGCUAAUUUCGUUUCAAACUUGCAUCUGAGUCAGUGUCGAGUUAAUUUGAUUCUGUUUAGGUCAUUUUUAGCCCUAGGGGCAUUUUGGUCAUUUCACAUAAAAUUUUGGCAUGGGGAGGUUACUUUGAAGUACCUCAUUUAGGCCAUUGGUUCGUUUUAGUCCGUUUUGUCAAUUUUAUUUUUUUGUUUCGCUUUACGUUUUGUCAGGUUACCAAUUUUAUUUCAAUUUUAUUUUAUUUUGCAUUUUGGUCCUCAAAGAGGUCCAAAAUUGCAUUUCAGUCCAGAAUUCUUUCUAUUUGCAUUUUUAGUCCUUUUUGUUAUUUCCAUUUUAGUCCUUUAAUUUUUCAAUUUUGCAGAAAAGGGCUCAAAGUGUCAAGCUCACGUUUUUUUUCAGUUAAAGUCCAGAUGUCACAAUUCUAUUGGUCCAAGAUCACACAUGUCAGCUAUAAAAGGUGUACAGUGCCACACAGACCCAUUAAUCACACGCCAACUCAUAAACACAAAAUCAAUUUUCUCUUUCUCAGCAAUUAGAUCAAAAACAGAAAAUCUCUCAGAAUUUCUCAAGAACACCAGGAACAAAAACCCUAACCGUUUUCCAGAAACCCUAAUUUUCAUCAGAAUCAACAUUUUUUGCAUCAAUCCUCAGAGAUUCGUGUGAAUCUUCAUCACCGGACUGAAGAUUUUCCUGCAAUUCCAAGUGCGAGCUCGCAUUGAAGCAAGCUCAAGCACUGAUCACAGGAUCUCCUCGCGUGGAUCUAAGAAACAUUGAAGCAAGCUCAAGCACGUAAUCACAGAGAAGCAGAGAAAGAGUCAGAGAAGAUGAAGAAUCUGGACCGGUGAAGCAAACAGAAUCAAAAAUCAUCAAGAACAGAAUCAAGAUUUCCAAAGAUUUCCUCCAUUAAAGGUUUCAACCAAAACCUUAGGUAAAACUCAUAAUCUUUUCUCAGAAAAUAAUAUCACUGUUAAACCUAAAAAUCACGCAAGCAAAACAGAUCCAAAAUUUCCAGAAUUCAAAGCCAAAACCGUAACCGUGAACACAAAACCUAGAUCCAUAAGGAUCUAAGUUUUGAAAGCAAAAACAAACAUCAAAGAGGUGUUAAACAACGAAAUGAUGUAGAUCUUCAAGGAUCUAAACGUUUUCUUUCAAAAAAUCAAAAUCAAAUUCAAAGCCGUACGACAAAUUUCCAGAUCUACAUCGUUUCGAAUUGAAUUUGAAAAAACAAUUGCUGGAUUCGUGUUUAGGGUUAAAGGACGAAUUGAUUGAUGAAGAAAUUUUGAAAUUCUGGAAAUUUUAGGUCACCGGAGUUCUUGAACUCGCCGGAGAAGAUGAAGUUUCCGGCGGACCUUCAAGGUCUCCGCCGUAGCUUCAUCCUCGCCGGCGGCGAGGUUAGUGAGAGGUGAGAGAAGAGAGAGGAACUUAGAGAGAGAAAGGGGAGUGAAAAGUGAAGAAAACCGGAACCUCUUCCCUUAUAUAAGCUAGUGAACCAGACCGGUUCAAGACCGGUCCAAUCCUGUUGAUUCCAGGCCGUUUGAUCUAGGGUUUCAGGAUCCUGGAUCAAUCCUGUGGCUCCUGUGAAUCCGGUUCUUUAGGGUUUUGGGUUGGGCCUUUGGUUUCUUUGGAUCUUUACGUUUUGCUAUUUCUGUGCUAUUCACACCCCUAUUUUUUGCUGCCUGCACCUAUGUCUUGAUUAAAAUUGUGAUAAAAUUCCUAGAAAAAUUCAUACAUGUUUCUUGAUAUUUUCUUAGUGUUUUUAUGACAUUUUUGCACAUUAAGGAUCUAUGAAAAUUUUGUAUAAUCAAUUCAUAGCAUUUUAAUUCUCUUUGAAUUAUUUGUUAUGGAUUCUUCUUCACACAUUUGUCCUUGAUGUGAGAAUAUGUAAUAAAAGCUACUUGAUGUGUUAAUAUGAGAGAUUUGUGCCUAUAAUUUCAUGUUGAUUUGCUGUUUUGAUUUGGUUUAUGAGUUCUUGUUUUUAUGAACAAUAUAUCCAUAUUUUGAAAGAUAUAAAAUGCCAAGUUUACUCUAGAAAAUAUGGCAUGAAAUCAUGCUUGCAUGUUUCCAAUAAUUCCAUGCUAUAACUUGAGAUAAAGAAAACUCUUUCAAAAUUUGUUAAAGCAUGAGAAUUAGAGGCCAAGAAUGCUUUAGGUUUCAUACCUAAGUUUUUAGGGUUUAAUGUCAUUUUGUUAACUUUUUGUGCCAUCUUGCAUGCUUUUAUUUCUUAGUACUUGUUAUGUUUUUUCUUUUCACUAACAAGUUUAUUUCCAUGUUUCAUGCAUCCCAUUUAGCAUUCCCUCCACUUUCUUUAGCCUAGCCUUUAUCUUUUGCAAGUUUUAAUUCAUUUGGUAAUGUAAUUUGUUAUCAUUGGUUUGUAGCUUGGCAAAGGGGCCAUAGAAUGUAUUUAGGCAAUUUUUGUAAUAUGGACUAUGGACACUAUGAUGCACCGACACGCACACACUCACCUUAGAUGUAUGCAUAGGAUUGUAUGGUUAAAUAAGCGUUUAGGUUUUAAACACUUAGAGAAAAUCCAUCUUUUUUUCAAAAAAAAAUAAUUGAACUUCACUUCAAAAACUUUCCUAAUAAGUAUGAAGUCAACACUUCAUUUUUUUCCUUUCUUUUUUUCUUAAGAAAAAUUCAAUUCAUCUUAAUCAUUUAGACUUUCUUUCUAAUCACUAAUCAAACCUCACUUUUUGCUAAAUCUAAUGCUCAUGAAGCCUCCCAAUCUCCUUCUUCAAAACCUUUUUUCUCAAAACUUAAAAUUAAACAAUUAGAACAAAAAACAAGUCUUUUUAGCAAGAACUACGCCGGUUUUGAUCCCGUAAAACGGUACGUAGGCAAUGAGUCAAAACUCAUCCAAGCCGAAAUAAAAUCCAAUUCUACUUCUUCUCACCCCCAUUCUUCACUAAUCAUACUUUCUUUUUUACAAAUAAGCAAUAAAACUAAAGCGUAGAAAUAAACUUAGGAAAGCGGUUCUUAUGGAGUACCAUAAUCGCUCCGGGUGCCUAACACCUUCCCGUAGCGAAAACGACCCCCGAACUUAGAAUCUAAGGGUUUUUCUCAAUUUUGCCCUUCCCAAGAAAAAAUAGAGAAUAUCAACGGUCAAAAGGUUCAAGUCCAAUUAAUGGCUUGGCACCCAAAAACCAUGAUAACAGAAAUGGCGACUUCACUGGGGAUUUUUUUAGCGGGUCACGCCUAGUUUUCCUUAGUUUAUUUACGCUUUGUUUUAUUGCUUACAUAUGUGAAUACUUGUUUACUUUCAUUUGACGUGUGGGGUGAGAAUAUCAAAAGUCCUAUACCCGGGCUGAGUGAACUUAUGUUUAGGUAGAGAUAUAAUCGAGAAUUCGAUCCGGGGGUUGCCUCGUGUAUUGGAUUAUGCGAUCAAUCUCACAUAGCUGAGGCAUUUUGAAGGUGAUAUUGUCGGCGUGUGUUGUCAUGCUUAGGCACUUCACUUUCAAUUGUUCGACGAAGCUAUGAACCGUAGUUACCAAACCCAUCCUAGCCUUUUUAGGACGUAGUGCGGUGGCUAAAUUGAGUGUUGUCUCAAACUUUAGUCGUCACGCGAUACUACACUCAAGCUAGACCUUCUCACAAAUAAUCAUGGAACGGGUGUCGUCCUGUACUACCAUGAUAUAUGUGAGAGAGGUUGCAGUUUGGGAACUGUGUUAGAACCAUGGUUACUACUAUCCAAAGCCUUAGUUCACCGGACGCCGUGUCCAUCCGUGGCCCCGUUACUUUGAAACUCAAUCCACUUUUAACAACACGAUCAUGCAUACAUGCAUUCAUGCAUAAACAUUUUUCAUGCAUUCAUCGAAGGGUUUAAACAAAUGGAAAUUUUUGUAAAUAAUCACAGGUAUGAAGAAGACUAAGUGCUACAAGUUCAAGGAAGUGGAUUUGGUUAGUUUGAGAGAGUUGGCACUCAAGGUCAAGAGUCAAACAGGGUUCCGACUCCGGUAUGGGGGAUUGCUUACUUUGCUCCGAACCGAUGUGGACGAGAAGCUAGUGCACACUCUAGUGCAAUUUUAUGAUCCAAGCUUCUGUUGCUUCACCUUCCCGGACUUCCAGUUGGUUCCUACUCUCGAGGCUUACUCCAAUCUAGUGGGUUUACCUAUGGCCGAGAAGACGCCUUUCACCGGUCCCGGGACUUCUCUUACUCCUCUGGUUAUUGCUAAGGAUCUCUACCUCAAGACUUCCGACGUCUCCAACCAUCUUAUUACCAAGUCUCACAUUCGGGGGUUCACUUCGAAGUAUCUUCUUGAUCAGGCUAAUCUCGGUACUACUCGUCAGGAUACACUCGAGGCUAUUCUUGCUUUGCUUAUCUACGGGCUCAUUCUCUUCCCGAACCUCGACAACUUCGUGGACAUGAAUGCUAUCGAGAUCUUUCAUUCCAAGAACCCGGUUCCUACUUUGCUAGCGGAUACCUACCACGCCAUUCAUGACAGGACUCUCAAGGGCCGUGGGUAUAUUCUUUGCUGCAUACCUCUUCUGUAUAGGUGGUUUAUUUCGCACCUUCCGAGUUCCUUCCAUGAUAACUCGGAGAACUGGUCCUACUCGCAGCGGAUUAUGGCCCUCACUCCUAAUGAGGUCGUCUGGCUCACUCCGGCCGCUCAGGUGAAGGAAAUUGUCAUGGGUUGUGGAGACUUUCUCAAUGUACCUCUUCUUGGUACUCGUGGAGGAAUUAACUACAACCCCGAGCUUGCUAUGAGGCAGUUUGGUUUUCCUAUGAAGUCGAAGCCCAUCAAUCUUGCUACAUCUCCAGAGUUCUUCUUCUAUGCGAAUGCUCCUACCGGACAAAGGAAAGCUUUCAUGGAUGCUUGGUCCAAGGUUCGAAGGAAGAGUGUGAAGCAUCUAGGUGUGAGAUCCGGUAUUGCUCAUGAGGCCUAUACUCAGUGGGUGAUAGAUCGAGCUGAGGAGAUCGGUAUGCCUUAUCCAGCUAUGAGAUAUGUGUCUUCGUCUACUCCAUCUAUGCCUCUACCUCUACUCCCCGCGACUCAGGAUAUGUAUCAGGAGCAUCUAGCUAUGGAGAGUCGUGAGAAGCAAGUGUGGAAAGCUCGGUACAAUCAAGCCGAGAAUCUAAUCAUGACUUUGGAUGGUAGAGAUGAGCAGAAGACUCAUGAGAAUCUAAUGUUGAAGAAAGAGCUAGCUAAGGCCCGGAGGGAAUUGGAAGAGAAAGAUGAGCUGCUUAUGAGGGACUCCAAGAGAGCCAGAGGACGACGAGACUUCUUUGCCAGAUACUGUGAUUCAGAUUCCGAGUCCGAUGAUCUUCCGACUACUUCCUAUGCUUGAGGGCUUCAUAUGUUUAUUUCAAAGUCUUUCUGUUGAGAAUACUAUGUAGUUUUGUUUAUUUGCAAGAUUUCUAAUUUGUUUAAAAAUCCUUCGAUGAGAGAAUAAGUCUUUUGCAUUUGCAUUUGCACAUCAUGCAUCAUAUGCAUCAUGCAUUGGUCACAAAGGCUUCCAAGUGCUUACCACCUCCUGGUUUCUCUGCCGCAGUGUGAAAAGUGGCUCGUGCUCAGAGAAUUUACGAACCUGAUAGAAUUGAUCGAACCAGAGAAUACAGAAGAAAGAAAAGGGCUAUGGAAGAAGAGAACACACAGCUUCGUACCGAAUUGGCAUCUCUAAGGGAGGAAUUGGCCAAAGCUCAUGAUGCUAUGACUGCUCUGUUGGCUGCUCAGGAACAACCAGUUCCUGUAGUUUCUACAGCUGCAAAUGUGACUCCUACCGUAACAACUGAUCCCCGCUCUAUCAUGCCAUCCGGGUACCCUUACGGACUUCCGCUGUACUAUACUACUAAUACAGGGGCAGGGACCUCUGGUACUACCAACAAUGGCCCAAUCCCAGGGGCAAACUUAACUCCUGUUAGUACCGCCUUGACUCAAGCUGCAACGACUGUUACCGAGCCCAUUGUGAAUGCGGUGCCUCUAUUUGUCCAUGCUAAUGCGCACCACGGGAGUAUUGCCACAACCGGAACUAUGGAAGAGAGAAUGGAAGAACUUGCCAAAGAGCUCCGACGGGAAAUUAAGGCCAACAGGGGAAACGGGGACUCCAUUAAAACCCAGGAUCUCUGCUUGGUAUCGAAGGUAGAUGUUCCAAAAAAGUUCAAAGUCCCGGAGUUCGACAAAUAUAACGGGCUGACUUGUCCUCAAAAUCAUAUUGUCAAAUACGUCCGGAAGAUGGGCAACUACAAGGACAAUGAUUCCCUUAUGAUCCAUUACUUCCAAGACAGUCUGAUGGAAGAUGCUGCAGAGUGGUAUACUAGUCUGAGCAAAGAUGAUGUCCAUACCUUUGAUGAGCUAGCCACCGCUUUCAGGAGCCACUACGGGUUUAACACUCGUUUGAAGCCGAAUAGGGAGUUCCUCAGGUCCCUAUCUCAGAAAAAGGAGGAGAGUUUCCGUGAAUAUGCGCAAAGGUGGAGAGGGGCAGCUGCCCGUAUCACUCCUGCUUUAGAUGAAGAAGAAAUGACCCAGACAUUCUUAAAGACCUUGAAGAAGGAUUAUGUUGAGAGGAUGAUCAUCGCCGCCCCGAACAACUUUUCAGAGAUGGUCACUAUGGGAACCCGUCUUGAGGAAGCAGUCAGGGAUGGAAUCAUUGUGUUUGAGAAAGCUGAAUCUUCUACGAGUGCAUCGAAGAGGUAUGGUAAUGGACACCACAAGAAGAAAGAAACGGAAGUGGGGAUGGUGUCAGCUGGAGCCGGUCAAUCUAUGGCUACUGUUGCACCUAUCAAUGCAGCUCAAAUGCCUCCGUCAUACCCAUAUAUGCCGUAUUCUCAGCAUCCGUUCUUCCCACCGUUUUAUCAUCAGUAUCCUUUGCCACCAGGCCAACCUCAGGUUCCUGUCAAUGCCAUCGCUCAACAGGUACAACAUCAACCGCCAGUUCAACAGCAGCAGCAGCAGUAUACUAGACCAACUUUUCCUCCUAUACCAAUGUUGUAUGCUGAGUUGCUUCCAACUUUACUCCAGAGAGGACAUUGCACAACUAGACAGGGCAAGCCACCACCUGAUCCGUUGCCUCCAAGGUUCAGGUCUGAUCCCAAAUGUGACUUUCAUCAAGGUGCCUUAGGUCAUGAUGUCGAGGGGUGUUAUGCUUUGAAGUAUAUUGUGAAGAAGCUCAUUGAUCAGGGAAAGCUGACUUUUGAGAACAAUGUUCCACAUGUCCUUGACAAUCCACUACCAAAUCAUGCCGCUGUGAAUAUGAUCGAAGUGUGUGAGGAAGCUCCUAGACUUGAUGUCCGCAAUGUUGCCACUCCCCUGGUGCCUCUGCAUAUCAAGCUAUGCAAAGCUUCUCUGUUCAGCCAUGAUCAUGCCAAGUGUCUAGGAUGCCUCCGUGAUCCUUUGGGUUGCCAUACUGUUCAAGACGACAUCCAAAGCCUGAUGGAUGAUAAUCUUCUGACUGUCAGUGAUGUUUGCGUGGUCGUGCCAGUUUUUCACGAUCCGCCUGUCAAGAGUGUACCUUUGAAGAAGAAUGCUGAGCCUUUGGUGAUAAGGUUGCCAGGACCAAUUCCUUAUGUUUCGGACAAGGCAGUGCCAUACAAGUACAAUGCUACUAUGAUAGAAAAUGGAGUAGAGGUGCCUCUAGCCUCCUUUGCCACAGUAAGCAAUAUUGCCGAAGGGACUUCUGCAGCGCUAAGAAGCGGGAAGGUUCGUCCGCCAUUAUUUCAGAAGAAGGUAGCUACGCCAAUCACUCCACCAGUUGAAGAAGCAACUCCAACCGUUGUUUCACCCAUUGCUACAGAUGUGAAUCAGCCAGGCAAGUCUAUAGAGGAUUCGAAUUUAGAUGAGAUUCUGAGAAUAAUAAAGAGGAGCGACUACAAGAUCGUUGAUCAAUUGCUGCAAACUCCUUCGAAGAUAUCCGUCUUGUCACUACUCUUGAGCUCUGAGGCUCAUAGGAAUACCUUGUUGAAAGUGCUGGAGCAGGCUUAUGUUGACCACGAAGUCUCGGUAGAUCGUUUCGGUGGCAUAGUGGGAAAUAUCACUGCUUGUAACAACCUCUGGUUCAGUGAAGAAGAGUGGCCAGAAGUGGGAAAGGGUCACAAUCUGGCUUUGCACAUCUCGGUGAACUGUAAAUCAGACAUGAUAUCAAAUGUGUUGGUGGAUACCGGUUCCUCUCUCAAUGUAAUGCCCAAGACAACUCUAGAUCAGUUGAGCUACCGCGGGACCCCGUUGAGGAGAAGUACUUUCUUGGUCAAAGCUUUUGACGGAUCUCGAAAGAAUGUGCUGGGAGAGAUAGACUUGCCGAUAACUAUUGGCCCUGAGAAUUUCUUGGUUACCUUCCAAGUGAUGGACAUUAAUGCAUCCUACAGUUGCCUGCUGGGAAGACCGUGGAUACACGAUGCAGGUGCGGUUACUUCCACUUUACAUCAGAAGUUGAAAUUUGUGAAGAAUGGAAAACUCGUUACAAUCCAUGGUGAAGAAGCAUACUUAGUCAGCCAGUUGUCUUCUUUUUCUUGUGUUGAAGCAGGGUCUGCUGAAGGGACUGCUUUCCAAGGUUUGACCAUUGAAGGCGCAGAGCCUAAGGAAGCUGGGGCUGCUAUGGCUUCAUUGAAAGAUGCUCAGAGAGCCAUCCAAGAAGGUCAGACUGCCGGCUGGGGCAAGGUGAUACAGCUCUGUGAGAACAAGCGUAAAGAAGGUCUCGGGUUCUCCCCGUCAUCAAGGGUUUCCUCGGGAGUCUUCCACAGUGCAGGGUUUGUUAAUGCUAUCUCUGAAGAAGCCACUGGAUCUGGUCUCAGGCCUGUAUUUGUUACACCAGGAGGCAUUGCGACAAAUUGGGAUGCCGUUGACAUUCCUUCAAUCAUGCAUGUUUCUGAGUAAUGUGUCUUGUUGCUUUAGUACUUUGUUUUCAAAAUAACAAUCCUCUCGCUCUGCCCAAAGCGAGAGUGAUAUUUUCUGUAAGGGCAUGUUUGUUUCGGCAUUGCCGUUGAUUAAUAAAAUUUUGUCGUUUCUUCCACGACUACUUUUUUUAAGUGCUUUUUCCCUUGGAAGCAAUGGUAAUGCCAGAAAAAACCAAAACGUCUGUAUUUUCUUAUUAAUUUCAAAAAUCUGCAUGAAAAAAAACUCUUUCUAAAAAUCAUCCAAUCAUUAUAUGCAGGUUGAACCAUAAUAAAUCCGUUGAACACAGUAAUCCUACGGUUCCUCCAAGUUUUGAUUUCCCUGUAUAUGAAGCCGAAGAUGAGGAAGGUGAUGACAUACCGUAUGAGAUCACUCGGUUACUUGAGCAAGAAAAGAAAGCCAUUCAGUCUCACCAAGAAGAGAUUGAGCUUAUCAACAUAGGUACCGAGGAAAACAAGCGAGAAAUCAAGAUUGGUGCUACCCUAGAGGAAGGGGUUAAACAGAAGAUCAUCCAACUCCUCCGGGAAUAUCCGGAUAUUUUUGCAUGGUCCUAUGAAGAUAUGCCAGGUCUAGACCCUAUGAUCGUGGAGCAUCGGAUCCCUACCAAGCCUGAAUGUCCUCCCGUCAGGCAGAAAUUGAGAAGGACUCAUCCUGACAUGGCCCUCAAGAUUAAGAGUGAAGUUCAAAAGCAGAUUGAUGCGGGUUUCCUCAUGACAGUGGAGGUAUCCCGAAUGGGUUGCCAAUAUUGUGCCUGUGCCAAAGAAGGAUGGUAAAGUCCGGAUGUGUGUUGACUUUAGGGACUUGAACAAAGCCAGUCCAAAAGACAACUUUCCGUUACCUCAUAUUGAUGUGCUUGUUGAUAAUACUGCUCAAUCUAAGGUGUUCUCCUUCAUGGACGGUUUUUCCGGUUAUAAUCAGAUCAAAAUGUCUCCUGAAGAUAGAGAAAAGACAUCUUUUAUCACGCCAUGGGGUACUUUCUGCUACAAAGUGAUGCCGUUCGGCCUAAUCAAUGCUGGUGCUACCUACCAAAGGGGAAUGACCACUCUGUUUCAUGACAUGAUUCACAAAGAAGUUGAGGUAUAUGUGGAUGACAUGAUUGUGAAGUCAGCAGAUGAGGAGCAGCAUGUUGAAUAUUUAACAAAGAUGUUUGAAAGGUUGAGAAAAUACAAGCUGCGACUGAAUCCCAACAAAUGUACAUUCGGUGUCAGGUCUGGAAAGUUAUUAGGCUUCAUUGUCAGCCAAAAGGGCAUUGAAGUCGAUCCUGAUAAAGUCCGGGCCAUCCGAGAAAUGCCAGCUCCACAGACAGAGAAGCAAGUCAGAGGUUUCUUGGGACGUUUGAAUUACAUCUCCCGAUUCAUAUCUCAUAUGACUGCAACCUGCGGGCCGAUCUUCAAACUACUUAGAAAGAACCAGCCUGUUGUAUGGGAUGAUGAAUGCCAAGAAGCUUUUGAUAGCAUCAAGAAUUACCUGCUGGAACCACCUAUCCUUGUCCCACCCGUGGAAGGAAGGCCUUUGAUUAUGUAUUUGGCAGUAUUUGAUGAAUCCAUGGGAUGUGUACUUGGUCAACAAGAUGAAACCGGAAAGAAAGAGCAUGCUAUCUACUAUCUAAGCAAGAAGUUCACCGAUUGUGAAACUCGGUAUACAAUGCUUGAAAAGACUUGUUGUGCUCUAGCUUGGGCUGCCAAACGCCUGCGCCAUUAUUUGGUGAAUCAUACAACUUGGUUGAUAUCCAGAAUGGAUCCGAUAAAGUAUAUCUUUGAGAAAGCGGCCGUUACUGGGAAGAUCGCACGCUGGCAGAUGCUUUUGUCUGAAUAUGAUAUUGUGUUCAAAACUCAAAAGGCAAUCAAAGGCAGCAUUCUUGCCGAUCACCUUGCUUAUCAACCUCUUGAUGAUUACCAACCAAUUGAAUUCGAUUUCCCUGAUGAAGAGAUCAUGUAUUUGAAAUCCAAAGACUGCGACGAACCGUUGAUUAAUGAAGGUCCAGAUCCCAAUAGCAAGUGGGGUUUAGUCUUUGAUGGUGCUGUCAAUGCUUAUGGCAAAGGAAUUGGGGCAGUCAUUGUAUCCCCGCAAGGGCAUCACAUUCCUUUUACCGCCCGUAUUCUGUUCGAAUGUACAAACAAUAUGGCUGAGUAUGAAGCAUGUAUCUUCGGGAUCGAGGGAGCAAUUGACAUGAGAAUCAAACACCUCGACAUCUAUGGAGAUUCUGCGCUCGUCAUCAAUCAGAUAAAGGGUGAAUGGGAGACCCACCAUGCUAAGUUGAUUCCUUAUCGUGAUUAUGCGAGACGUCUUCUGACAUAUUUUACAAAGGUUGAGCUGCAUCAUAUUCCUCGUGAUGAGAACCAAAUGGCUGAUGCUCUUGCUACUCUAUCUUCCAUGUUUCGAGUAAACCAUUGGAAUGAUGUGCCAUUAAUUAAAGUGCAACGCCUUGAAAGACCUUCGCAUGUGUUUGCUAUUGGGGAUGUGAUCGAUCAGGCUGGUGAAAAUAUGGUUGACUAUAGACCCUGGUACUACGACAUCAAACAGUUCUUGCUGAGCCGUGAGUAUCCGCCGGGUGCUUCCAAACAAGACAAGAAGACCUUGAGAAGAUUGGCCGGUAGAUUCUUGUUAGAUGGAGAUAUUCUGUACAAGAGGAACUAUGACAUGGUAUUGUUAAGAUGUGUUGAUGAACAUGAAGCAGAGCAGUUAAUGCAUGAUGUACAUGACGGUACCUUCGGGACCCAUGCUACAGGGCAUACUAUGUCAAGAAAGUUGCUACGGGCAGGUUACUACUGGAUGGCCAUGGAGCAUGAUUGCUACCAAUACGCCAGAAAAUGCCACAAAUGUCAAAUCUAUGCUGAUAAGAUUCAUGUGCCUCCGCACGCUCUCAAUGUUAUGUCAUCCCCAUGGCCGUUCUCAAUGUGGGGCAUCGAUAUGAUUGGAAGAAUUGAACCGAAAGCUUCAAAUGGUCAUCGUUUCAUCUUAGUGGCAAUUGACUACUUUACCAAAUGGGUUGAAGCAGCAUCUUAUACCAAUGUGACCAAGCAAGUGGUAGCUAAGUUCAUCAAGAACAACAUCAUCUGUCGAUAUGGUGUUCCCAGCAAGAUUAUUACCGACAAUGGUACCAACCUGAACAACAAUGUGGUGCAAGCUCUUUGUGAAGAAUUCAAAAUUGAGCAUCAUAACUCUUCUCCUUAUAGACCUCAGAUGAAUGGUGCAGUUGAGGCCGCCAAUAAGAAUAUCAAGAGAAUUGUCCAGAAGAUGGUAACCACUUACAAGGACUGGCAUGAGAUGUUACCCUAUGCUCUGCAUGGCUACCGUACUACCAUGCGCAGUUCAACCGGGGCAACCCCUUUCUCUCUUGUAUAUGGUAUGGAAGCAGUUCUUCCUUUGGAAGUGGAGAUCCCAUCUCUCCGUGUGAUCAUGGAAGCAAAGUUAUCCGAAGCUGAAUGGUGCCAAAGCCGGUAUGAUCAGUUGAAUUUGAUUGAGGAAAAACGUAUGGAUGCCAUGGCUCGUGGACAGUCAUAUCAAGCAAGAAUGAAGACUGCCUUUGACAAGAAAGUCCAUCCUCGAGAAUUCAAGGUAGGGGAACUUGUAUUGAAAAGGAGGAUAAGCCAGCAACCCGACCCGAGGGGCAAGUGGACGCCUAACUAUGAAGGUCCUUAUGUCGUCAAGAAGGCCUUCUCCGGUGGUGCUUUAAUCCUUACACACAUGGAUGGUGUAGAGCUUCCAAAUCCAGUGAAUGCCGAUAUAGUCAAGAAAUACUUUGCCUAAAAAUAUGAAAAGAACAGCGUGGUAGGUCGAAAACCCGAAAGGGCGGCCUAGGCAAAAAUGCGCUUCCCGGUGGAUCGAAAACCCGAAAGGGCGGUCCAGGCAAAAAUAAGGGACAAAAAAAACAACAAAUAUGAAAAGCUCGCUGAGAUUGUACACAACUCAGGCAAGAAUGAGCGUCUCGAUGAGCCGAAAACCCGGAAGGUCGGUUCAUGCAAAAAUGAGAUUGAAACAAAAGGCAAGUAACUAUAUCUGGCCAACCACCGUCCCCCUUGGGGCAUCUGCAGCUGUUAAUGCCUAUCUUCAUCAAAAGCUUCUGUACUUGUGAAUUCGAAGUUUCUGGGAAAUGUCAUGAUUACUGUGUUCAAUGUACCACCAACCAAUAAAAUUACCAUUUUCCAAGCUUUGUGAAUCCGUGGAGUCGUGCCUUCGGCUGAUCACCACUCUUAUACAUCAAUUUGAGCUUGUGCUUUUGUUUGAAACUCUAUUUUUCUUCUACUUUCAAAGCUGUAUACAAAACAUUCUCUUUCCAUUUUGAUAAUGACAAUGCUUGAAACAAACAUUUUUGAAAAUUGAAAACUUUUUGUCUAUUUUGAAAAGCAAACCCGAGCAACAGGGUACAUUCAAAUGAACAUGCAUGAGCGAGUGUGUGUGGGUGUCUAUCUUCAAUAUAUGUUACAAGCAGGUUCUCCUCCAAGAUAAUCUGUGGUCAAUGGCAAGAAUGAAAAAACAGAAUGAAAAUGCAUGAAAAUGAAUGAGCUCGCUAAGUUGAAAACCCGAAAGGGCGACUUAGGCAAAAAUGAGCACCCCGCUGGAUUGACAACCCGAAAGGGCAGUUCAGGCAAAAAUGGGGCAUUGAAAAGAAUUUAUUUCCCCGGUGGGUCGAAAACCCGAAAGGGCGAUCCAGGCAAAAAUGGGAUGCAAAAAAUGAAUGAUGAAGAUUGAGAAUAUAACAUGCAAAAAGCAUUGACCACAGAUGCGAUGUCCACAACAUGCCCAGCACAACGGCAUUAUCCCCAGUAAAGUCUCUCAAGAUUCUAUCCCCAGCAAGUUGCAUAGCUACCAGCCCUCAGCCUAGGUCCCGAAACGUCUCCCAACGACGUCAUCUCCAAAGAGGAUUUCCAAGAAUGUGUAAUAUAGCUCGAGCCACUACGUGCCCAAUACUCUGAUGUCUUGUCUUCCCCGUGAAGUCGUGCCUACAAAAUGCCAACAGUCAUGCAUUACAAGCAUUCAUACAUGCAUAAUCAUGCAUAUUACGUACCCAUGCAUUUAAUGAAAUUGUUAUAUCAUCCAUGCAUAUUGCAUUUCCAAUGUCAACAUCAGUCUCAAUUCAACACUCAUGUCAGGUUCUCUGUCAAAACCUUGUGAGCCAAUAAUAUCGGUCAAUUUCUACCUUUCAAUUCAAAUCGACGUCAAGUCAAUCUCAAUCUAUAUUUUGUCAACAAACCAAUCCCCAGUGAAUAUGUUUUUGUUCGGUCAAGUUACUAGUUCGCAUCCAAGAACGACUUGCACCCGUUUACUUUUCAAUGUUAUCGGUCGAGUGCCCAGCUCAAUCCAAGAGCAGCUUGUACCUGUCUAUUUGUUUCUGUCCGGUGGAGUAACCAGUUCGCAUCCAAGAACAAGCUCACACCUGUUUAUUUGCCUUGCUUUCGGUCGAGUAACCAGUUCGAAUCCUUAAGAACAACUCGUACCUGCCAAUUUUACAUGUUUUCAGUCGAGUCACCAGUUCGAAUCCGUAAGAACAACUCGUACUUGCCAAUUUUCUCUUUUUCCCAGUCGGGUCACCAGUUCGAAUCCAUAAGAACAACUCGCACUUUCCAGUAUCCCCAAGUGAGUUAUCAGUUCGAAUCCAUAAGAACAACUCAUAUUUGUCCAGUAACCUCUAUCCCCUGUGGAGUGACCAGUUCGAAUCCAUAAGAACAACUCGCAGUUGUCUGUUUGUUUCAUUCCCGGUCAGGUGCCCAGCUCGAUCCAAGAGCAGCUUGUACCUGUCCAACUUGUUUCUAGUUUCCCGUUACUCUGCUAUUCACUAUCUUUGUCAAUGUCUACCAAUCCCGCAAUGGAUACGACAUAUUUUGUUAAUUCCAAUCCCCAUGAGGUCUUGCAUUCAUAAUCCAAACGAUGCAUGGCAUGCAUAUUAUUUGAAAAUGGGUAGGCGUAUUUUUACGUCCAAACACAGUGCAAAUGCUAAUAUUUAAGUAUCUUCGUCCUGUCAAGCCAAAGACUCCGUCUCUUGACUCUCCAGACAAAGAAACUUAAAUAGGGGCAGCUGUUAUACCCUGUUUUUGGACCUAAAAAUACUGGGCCCAAUUUCAUUUCAAACUUUGUCAAUUAUCAAAUUUCAACUGCACAGUUCAAAUUGUCUCUGCCUCGCAGUAUUUUUCAAUCACAAUUUUACCUAUGUUUUUCUUGCAUAAAACCUUUCGAAAUGUCUUUACUUGUCUUGUAAGUCAUUCAAAAGUGUCUCUGAAUCAUUACAUUGCUUUUUCCACAGUUUAUUUCAAAAUUUGCAAAGAAGUCAUACAGAAGGGUAUUUUGGUCAUUUCCCGCAGUGGGACCCAUUUUCAUCCUUGUGACUGUCUCUGAGUCUUUUCAAAUUCAUUUUUAACUUUCCAUCAGUAAACCUUGCUAAUUUCGUUUCAAACUUGCAUCUGAGUCAGUGUCGAGUUAAUUUGAUUCUGUUUAGGUCAUUUUUAGCCCUAGGGGCAUUUUGGUCAUUUCACAUAAAAUUUUGGCAUGGGGAGGUUACUUUGAAGUACCUCAUUUAGGCCAUUGGUUCGUUUUAGUCCGUUUUGUCAAUUUUAUUUUUUUGUUUCGCUUUACGUUUUGUCAGGUUACCAAUUUUAUUUCAAUUUUAUUUUAUUUUGCAUUUUGGUCCUCAAAGAGGUCCAAAAUUGCAUUUCAGUCCAGAAUUCUUUCUAUUUGCAUUUUUAGUCCUUUUUGUUAUUUCCAUUUUAGUCCUUUAAUUUUUCAAUUUUGCAGAAAAGGGCUCAAAGUGUCAAGCUCACGUUUUUUUUCAGUUAAAGUCCAGAUGUCACAAUUCUAUUGGUCCAAGAUCACACAUGUCAGCUAUAAAAGGUGUACAGUGCCACACAGACCCAUUAAUCACACGCCAACUCAUAAACACAAAAUCAAUUUUCUCUUUCUCAGCAAUUAGAUCAAAAACAGAAAAUCUCUCAGAAUUUCUCAAGAACACCAGGAACAAAAACCCUAACCGUUUUCCAGAAACCCUAAUUUUCAUCAGAAUCAACAUUUUUUGCAUCAAUCCUCAGAGAUUCGUGUGAAUCUUCAUCACCGGACUGAAGAUUUUCCUGCAAUUCCAAGUGCGAGCUCGCAUUGAAGCAAGCUCAAGCACUGAUCACAGGAUCUCCUCGCGUGGAUCUAAGAAACAUUGAAGCAAGCUCAAGCACGUAAUCACAGAGAAGCAGAGAAAGAGUCAGAGAAGAUGAAGAAUCUGGACCGGUGAAGCAAACAGAAUCAAAAAUCAUCAAGAACAGAAUCAAGAUUUCCAAAGAUUUCCUCCAUUAAAGGUUUCAACCAAAACCUUAGGUAAAACUCAUAAUCUUUUCUCAGAAAAUAAUAUCACUGUUAAACCUAAAAAUCACGCAAGCAAAACAGAUCCAAAAUUUCCAGAAUUCAAAGCCAAAACCGUAACCGUGAACACAAAACCUAGAUCCAUAAGGAUCUAAGUUUUGAAAGCAAAAACAAACAUCAAAGAGGUGUUAAACAACGAAAUGAUGUAGAUCUUCAAGGAUCUAAACGUUUUCUUUCAAAAAAUCAAAAUCAAAUUCAAAGCCGUACGACAAAUUUCCAGAUCUACAUCGUUUCGAAUUGAAUUUGAAAAAACAAUUGCUGGAUUCGUGUUUAGGGUUAAAGGACGAAUUGAUUGAUGAAGAAAUUUUGAAAUUCUGGAAAUUUUAGGUCACCGGAGUUCUUGAACUCGCCGGAGAAGAUGAAGUUUCCGGCGGACCUUCAAGGUCUCCGCCGUAGCUUCAUCCUCGCCGGCGGCGAGGUUAGUGAGAGGUGAGAGAAGAGAGAGGAACUUAGAGAGAGAAAGGGGAGUGAAAAGUGAAGAAAACCGGAACCUCUUCCCUUAUAUAAGCUAGUGAACCAGACCGGUUCAAGACCGGUCCAAUCCUGUUGAUUCCAGGCCGUUUGAUCUAGGGUUUCAGGAUCCUGGAUCAAUCCUGUGGCUCCUGUGAAUCCGGUUCUUUAGGGUUUUGGGUUGGGCCUUUGGUUUCUUUGGAUCUUUACGUUUUGCUAUUUCUGUGCUAUUCACACCCCUAUUUUUUGCUGCCUGCACCUAUGUCUUGAUUAAAAUUGUGAUAAAAUUCCUAGAAAAAUUCAUACAUGUUUCUUGAUAUUUUCUUAGUGUUUUUAUGACAUUUUUGCACAUUAAGGAUCUAUGAAAAUUUUGUAUAAUCAAUUCAUAGCAUUUUAAUUCUCUUUGAAUUAUUUGUUAUGGAUUCUUCUUCACACAUUUGUCCUUGAUGUGAGAAUAUGUAAUAAAAGCUACUUGAUGUGUUAAUAUGAGAGAUUUGUGCCUAUAAUUUCAUGUUGAUUUGCUGUUUUGAUUUGGUUUAUGAGUUCUUGUUUUUAUGAACAAUAUAUCCAUAUUUUGAAAGAUAUAAAAUGCCAAGUUUACUCUAGAAAAUAUGGCAUGAAAUCAUGCUUGCAUGUUUCCAAUAAUUCCAUGCUAUAACUUGAGAUAAAGAAAACUCUUUCAAAAUUUGUUAAAGCAUGAGAAUUAGAGGCCAAGAAUGCUUUAGGUUUCAUACCUAAGUUUUUAGGGUUUAAUGUCAUUUUGUUAACUUUUUGUGCCAUCUUGCAUGCUUUUAUUUCUUAGUACUUGUUAUGUUUUUUCUUUUCACUAACAAGUUUAUUUCCAUGUUUCAUGCAUCCUGUUAUCAUGGUUUUUGGGUGCCAAGCCAUUAAUUGGACUUGUACCUUUCGACCGUUGAUAUCUCUAUUUUUUCUUGGGAAGGGCAAAAUUGAGAAAAAACCCUUAGAUUCUAAGUUCGGGGGUCGGUUUUACUACGGGAAGGUGUUAGGCACCCGGAGUAACUAUAGUCCUCUAUAGGAGCCGUUUUCCUAAGUCUAUAUUCACGCUUAUUUUUACUUACUUUUGAAGAUGGGAGGUUUAUUUAGUUAAGAAUGAGGGGAGAGAAGUUGUAAGACUUUUUAAUUUUAUUUCGGCUUGGAUGAGUUUUGACUCAUUGCCUACGUACCGUUUUACGGGAUCAAAACCGGCGUAGUUCUUGCUAAAAAAAAGACUUGUUUUUCUUUUGUUUUAAUUGUUUGAUUUUAAGUUUUAAAAAAAGGUUUUGAAGAAGGAGAUUGGGAGGCUUCAUGAGCAUUAGAUUUAGCAAAAAAGGUGAGGUUUGAUUAGUGAUUUAGAAAGAAAGUCUAAAUGAUUAAGAUGAAUUGAAUUUUUCUUAAGAAAAAAGAGAAAGGAAAAAAAAAAUGAAGUGUUGACUUCAUACUUAUUAUGAAAAUUUUUGAAGUGAAGUUCAAUUGCUUUUUUUGAAAAAAAGAUGGAUUUUCCCUAAGUGUUCAAACCUAAGCGCUUAUCUAACCAUACAAUCCUAUGCAUACAUCUAAGGUGAGUGUGUGCGUGUCGGUGCGUCAUAGUGUCCAUAGUCCAUAUUACAAAAAUUGCCUAAAUACAUUCUAUGGCCCCUUUGCCAAGCUACAAACCAAUGAUAACAAAUUACAUUACCAAAUGAAUUAAAACUUGCAAAAAAAACAAAUGCUAGGCUAAAAAGUGGAGGGAAUGCUGAGUUUUUAUGGAGAUUCUGUUAGGUUUCUUCGGAAACACUUGGAUUUGGCUUUUGCUUGUUGAUUUCUGGCUUUGAACCGAAAAUAAAUCGGUGAUUCUUCUUUUCUCACUGAUUCCGUUUCUUCAUCUUCUUCGCCGGCUUAAAACCUUGCUUCUUUCCCUUUUCUUCUCCUUUUUCAACGCCUCUGUGAUCGGUGUUGGAGUUCUUCGCCACUGGGGAAGAAUUCUCACCUUGAAUUGCAGAGGGAUCAACUCAGUGAUGAAGAUUCGCCAUUGAAUCUCUGAGAGUUUGAUGCAAAAAUCAAUGAAUUUGUGUAUGAAUUUUGGUUCUGGAAAUUUCUAGGGUUCUUGUGUUCUUGAUGAACUUGAUGAUUUUUCUGUUUCUGAUCUAACUGAAUGGAGAGAGAAAGUCUCAUUGUGUUUGUUGAGUUGGCGUGUGAUUAAUGGCUUUGAAUCUGACUCACUGUUUAUAUAGUUGACAUGUGUACACUUGAGCCAAUGAAAUUGUGACACGUACCCUGGACUUGCUCACUUGGGCGCUGCUUGCUAUUUUAAGGACCAAUCUGCAAAUUGUGAAAAUGACAAGGACUGGACUGCAAAAUUAAAAAAAACUUGAAAUGAAAUAAAUAAUAAAAAAACAGUUUGGACAAAAAUGCAAUUUUGGGACCUCAAUUGAGGGACCAAAAUGCAAUACAAAAUAAAAUUUGAAUAAAAAACGUAAUUUGACCAAACGUAAAGUGAAACAAAAAUAAAAUUGACAAAACGGACUAAAACGAACCAAUGGCCUAAAUGAGGUACUUCAAAGUAACCUCCCCAUGCCAAAAUUUCAUGUGAAAUGACCAAAAUGCCCCUAGGGCUAAAAAUGACCUAAACUGACUCAAACAGACUUGACACUGACUCAGAUGCAAGUUUGAAAUGAAUUUAAACAGGGUUUACUGACGAAAUGUCAAAAAAUGAAUUUGAAAAGACUCGGAGAUAGUCACAAGGAUGAAGAUGGGUCCCACUGCAGGAAAUGACCAAAAUACCCUUCUGUAUGACCUUUUGCAAAUUUUGAAAUAAACUGUAGAAAAAGCAAUGUAAUGAUUCAGAGGCACUUUUGAAUGACUUACAAGACAAGUAAAGACAUUUUGAAAGGUUUUAUGCAAGAAAAACAUAGGUAAAAUUGUGAUUGAAAAUACUGCGAAGCAGAGACAAUUUGAACUGUGCAGUUGAAAUUUGAUAAUUGACAAAGUUUGAAAUGAAAUUGGGCCCAGUAUUUUUAGGUCCAAAAACAGGGUAUAACAGCUGCCCCUAUUUAAGUUUCUUUGUCUGGAGAGUCAAGAGACGGAGUCUUUGGCUUGACAGGACGAAGAUACUUAAAUAUUAGCAUUUGCACUGUGUUUGGACGUAAAAAUACGCCUACCUAUUUUCAAAUAAUAUGCAUGCCAUGCGUCAUUUGGACUAUGAAUGCAAGACCUCAGGGGGAUUGGAAUUAACAAAAUAUGUCGUAUCCAUUGCGGGAUUGGUAGACAUUGACAAAGAUAGUGAAUAGCAGAGUAACGGGAAACUAGAAACAAGUUGGACAGGUACAAGCUGUUCUUGGAUUCAAACUAGCCACUUGACCGGGGAUGAAACAAACAGACAACUGCGAGUUGUUCUUAUGGAUUCGAACUGGUCACUUCACAGGGGAUAGAGGUUACUGGACAAACAUGAGUUGUUCUUAUGAAUUCGAACUGAUAACUCACUUGGGGAUGUUGGAAAGUGCGAGUUGUUCUUAUGGAUUCGAACUGGUGACCCGACUGGGGAAAUUGACAAGUACGAGUUGUUCUUAUGGAUUCGAACUGGUCACUCGACCGAAAGCAAAGGCAAAUAAACAGGUGUGAGCUUGUUCUUGGAUGCGAACUGGUUACUCCACCGGACAGAAAUAGAUAGACAGGUACAAGCUGCUCUUGGAUUGAGCUAGCCACUUGACCAAACGGAAACAUAUUGACAGGUACGAGCUGCUCUUGGAUUGAGCUGGACACUCGACCGAUAACAUAAGCAAAUUGAUAGGUACAAGCUGUUCUUGGACUUGAACUAGCCACUUGACCAAACAGAAACAUAUUCACUGGGGAUUGAGUUUUGUUUGACGAAAUAUAGAUUGAGAUUGACUUGGCGUCGAUUUGGUUUGAAAGGUAGAAAUUGAUUGAUAUUAUUGGAUCACAAGGCUUUGACAGAGAACCUGACAUGAGUAUUGAAUUGAGACUGAUGUUGACAUUGGAAAUGCAAUAUGCAUGGAUGAUAUAACAGUUCCAUUAAAUGCAUGGGCACGUAAUAUGCAUGAUUAUGCAUGUAUGAAUGCUUGUAAUGCAUGACUGUUGGCAUUUUGUAGGCACGACUUCACGGGGAAGACAAGACAUCAGAGUAUUGGGCACGUAGUGGCUCGUGCUAUAUUACACAUUCUUGGAAAUCCUCUUUGGAGAUGACGUCGUUGGGAGACGUAUCGGAACCAUGGCUGAGGGCAGGUAGCUAUGCAACUUGCUGGGGAUAGAAUCUCGAGAGACUUUACUGGGGAUAAUGCCGUUGUGCUGGGCAUGUUGUGGACAUCGCAUCUGUGGUCAAUGCUUUUUGCAUGCUAUUUUCUCAUUCUCAUUUUUCGCAUCCCAUUUUUGCCUGGAUCGCCCUUUCGGGUUUUCGAUCCACCGGGGAAAUAGAUUCUUUUCAAUGCCCCAUUUUUGCCUGAACUGCCCUUUCGGGUUGUCAAUCCAGCGGGGUGCUCAUUUUUGCCUAAGCCGCCCUUCCGGGUUUUCAACUUAGCGAGCCUUUUCAUUUUCAUGCAUUUUCAUUCUGUUUUUUCAUUCUUGCCAUUGACCACAGAUUAUCUUGGAGGAGAACCUGCUUGUAACAUAUAUUGAAAUAGACAUUAACAUACUCUCGCUCAUGCAUGUUUCAUUUGAACGUACCCUGUUGCUCAGGUUUGCUUUUCAAAACAGACAAAAAGUUUUCAAUUUUCAAAAUGUUUGUUUCAAGCAUUGUCAUUAUCAAAAUAGAAAGAAAAUGUUUUGUAUAUAGCUUUGAAAGUAAAAAGAAAAAUAGAGUUUCAAACAACAGCACAAGCUCAAUUUGAUGUAUAAGAGUGGUGGUCAGCCGAAGGCAUGACUCCACGGAUUCACAAAGCUUGGAAAAUGGUAAUUUUUAUUGGUUGGUGGUACAUUGAACACGGUAACCACUACAGUUCUUAGAAACUUUGAAUUCACAAGUACAGAAGCUUUUGAUGAAGAUAGGCAUUAACAGCUGCAGAUGCCCCAAGGGGGACGGUGGUUGGCCAGAUAUAGUUACUUGCCUUUUGUUUCAAUCUCAUUUUUGCAUGAACCGCCCUUCCGGGUUUUCGGCUCAUCGAGACGCUCAUUCUUGCCUGAGUUGCGUACAAUCUCAGCGAGCUUUUCAUAUUUGUUUUUUUUUUUUUUUUUUUUUGUCCCUUAUUUUUGCCUGGACCGCCCUUUCGGGUUUUCGAUCCAUCGGGAAGCGCAUUUUUGCCUAGGCCGCCCUUUCGGGUUUUCGACCUACCACGCUGUUCUUUUCACAUUUCUAGGCAAAGUAUUUCUUGACUAUAUCGGCAUUCACUGGAUUUGGAAGCUCUACACCAUCCAUGUGUGUAAGGAUUAAAGCACCACCGGAGAAGGCCUUCUUGACAACAUAAGGACCUUCAUAGUUAGGCGUCCACUUGCCCCUUGGGUCGGGUUGCUGGCUUAUCCUCCUUUUCAAUACAAGUUCCCCUACCUUGAAUUCUCGAGGAUGGACUUUCUUGUCAAAAGCAGUCUUCAUUCUUGCUUGAUAUGACUGUCCACGAGCCAUGGCAUCCAUACGUUUUCCCUCAAUCAAAUUCAACUGAUCAUACCGGCUUUGGCACCAUUCAGCCUCAGAUAACUUUGCUUCCAUUAUCACACGGAGAGAUGGGAUCUCCACUUCCAAAGGAAGAACUGCUUCCAUACCAUAUACAAGAGAGAAAGGGGUUGCCCCGGUUGAACUGCGCACGGUAGUGCGGUAGCCAUGCAGAGCAUAGGGUAACAUCUCAUGCCAGUCCUUGUAAGUGGUUACCAUCUUCUGGACAAUUCUCUUGAUAUUCUUAUUGGCGGCCUCAACUGCACCAUUCAUCUGAGGUCUAUAGGGAGAAGAGUUAUGAUGCUCAAUUUUGAAUUCUUCACAAAGAACUUGCACCACAUUAUUGUUCAGGUUGGUACCAUUGUCGGUAAUAAUCUUGCUGGGAACACCAUAUCGACAGAUGAUGUUGUUCUUGAUGAACUUAGCUACCACUUGCUUGGUCACAUUGGUAUAAGAUGCUGCUUCAACCCAUUUGGUAAAGUAGUCAAUUGCCACUAAGAUGAAACGAUGACCAUUUGAAGCCUUCGGUUCAAUUCUUCCAAUCAUGUCGAUGCCCCACAUCGAGAACGGCCAUGGGGAUGACAUAACAUUGAGAGCGUGCGGAGGCACAUGAAUCUUAUCAGCAUAGAUUUGACAUUUGUGGCAUUUUCUGGCGUACUGGUAGCAAUCAUGCUCCAUAGUCAUCCAGUAGUAACCUGCCCGUAGCAACUUUCUUGACAUAGUAUGCCCUGUAGCAUGGGUCCCGAAGGUACCGUCAUGUACAUCAUGCAUUAACUGCUCUGCCUCAUGUUCAUCAACACAUCUUAACAAUACCAUGUCAUAGUUUCUCUUGUACAGAAUAUCUCCAUCUAACAGGAAUCUACUGGCCAAUCUUCUCAAGGUCUUCUUGUCUUGUUUGGAAGCACCCGGCGGAUACUCACGGCUCAGCAAGAACCGUUUGAUGUCGUAGUACCAGGGUUUAUAGUCAACCACAUUUUCGCCAGCCUGAUCGAUCACAUCCCCAAUAGCAAACACAUGGGAAGGUCUUUCAAGGCGUUGCACUUUGAUUACUGGCACAUCAUUCCAAUGGUUUACUCGGAACAUGGAAGAUAGAGUAGCAAGAGCAUCCGCCAUUUGGUUCUCAUCACGAGGAAUAUGAUGCAGCUCAACCUUUGUAAAAUAUGUCAGAAGACGUCUCGCAUAAUCACGAUAAGGAAUCAACUUAGCAUGGUGGGUCUCCCAUUCACCCUUUAUCUGAUUGAUGACGAGCGCAGAAUCUCCAUAGAUGUCGAGGUGUUUGAUUCUCAUGUCAAUUGCUUCCUCGAUCCCGAAGAUACAUGCUUCAUACUCAGCCAUGUUGUUGGUACAUUCGAACAGAAUUCGGGCGGUAAAGGGAAUGUGAUGCCCUUGCGGGGAUACAAUGACUGCCCCAAUUCCUUUGCCAUAAGCAUUGACAGCACCAUCAAAGACUAAACCCCACUUGCUAUUGGGAUCUGGACCUUCAUUAAUCAACGGUUCGUCGCAGUCUUUGGAUUUCAAAUACAUGAUCUCUUCAUCAGGGAAAUCGAAUUCAAUUGGUUGGUAAUCAUCAAGAGGUUGAUAAGCAAGGUGAUUGGCAAGAAUGCUGCCUUUGAUUGCCUUUUGAGUUUUGAACACAAUAUCAUAUUCAGACAAAAGCAUCUGCCAGCGUGCGAUCUUCCCAGUAACGGCCGCUUUCUCAAAGAUAUACUUUAUCGGAUCCAUUCUGGAUAUCAACCAAGUUGUAUGAUUCACCAAAUAAUGGCGCAGGCGUUUGGCAGCCCAAGCUAAAGCACAACAAGUCUUUUCAAGCAUUGUAUAUCGAGUUUCACAAUCGGUGAACUUCUUACUUAGAUAGUAGAUAGCAUGCUCUUUCUUUCCGGUUUCAUCUUGUUGACCAAGUACACAUCCCAUGGAUUCAUCAAAUACUGCCAAAUACAUAAUCAAAGGCCUUCCUUCCACGGGUGGGACAAGGAUAGGUGGUUCCAGCAGGUAAUUCUUGAUGCUAUCAAAAGCUUCUUGGCAUUCAUCAUUCCAUACAACAGGCUGGUUCUUUCUAAGUAGCUUGAAAAUCGGCCCGCAGGUUGCAGUCAUGUGAGAUAUGAAUCGGGAGAUGUAAUUCAAACGUCCCAAGAAACCUCUGACUUGCUUCUCUGUCUGUGGAGCUGGCAUUUCUCGGAUGGCCCGGACUUUAUCAGGAUCGACUUCAAUGCCCUUUUGGCUGACAAUGAAGCCUAAUAACUUUCCGGACCUGACACUGAAUGUACAUUUGUUGGGAUUCAAUCGCAGCUUGUAUUUUCUCAACCUUUCAAACAUCUUUGUUAAAUAUUCAACAUGCUGCUCCUCAUCUGCUGACUUCACAAUCAUGUCAUCCACAUAUACCUCAACUUCUUUGUGAAUCAUGUCAUGAAACAGAGUGGUCAUUCCCCUUUGGUAGGUAGCACCGGCAUUGAUUAGGCCGAACGGCAUCACUUUGUAACAGAAAGUACCCCAUGGAGUGAUAAAAGAUGUCUUUUCUCUAUCUUCAGGGGACAUUUUGAUCUGAUUGUAACCGGAGAAACCGUCCAUGAAGGAGAACACCUUAGAUUGAGCAGUAUUAUCAACAAUCACAUCAAUAUGAGGUAAUGGAAAGUUGUCUUUUGGACUGGCUUUGUUCAAGUCCCUGAAGUCAACACACAUCCGGACUUUACCAUCCUUCUUUGGCACAGGCACAAUAUUGGCAACCCAUUCGGGAUACUCAACUGUCAUGAGGAAACCCGCAUCGAUCUGCUUUUGAACUUCAUUCUUGAUCUUGAGGGCCAUGUCAGGAUGAGUCCUCCUCAAUUUCUGCCUGACGGGAGGACAUUCAGGCUUGGUAGGGAUCCGAUGCUCCACGAUCAUAGGGUCUAGACCUGGCAUAUCUUCAUAGGACCAUGCAAAAAUAUCCGGAUAUUCCCGGAGGAGUUGGAUGAUCUUCUGUUUAACCCCUUCCUCUAGAGUAGCACCAAUCUUGAUUUCUCGCUUGUUUUCCUCGGUACCUAUGUUGAUAAGCUCAAUCUCUUCUUGGUGAGGCUGAAUGGCUUUCUUUUCUUGCUCAAGUAACCGAGUGAUCUCAUACGGUAUGUCAUCACCUUCCUCAUCUUCGGCUUCAUAUACAGGGAAAUCAAAACUUGGAGGAACCGUAGGAUUACUGUGUUCAACGGGUUUAUUAUGGUUCAACCUGCAUAUAAUGAUUGGAUGAUUUUAGAAAGAGCUUUUUUUUUUCAUGCAGAUUUUUGAAACUAAUAAGAAAAUACAGACGUUUUGGUUUUUUCUGGCAUUACCAUUGUUUCCAAGGGAAAAAGCACUAAAAGAAAAGUAGUCGUGGAAGAAACGACAAAAUUUUAUUAACCAACGGCAAUGCCGAAACAAACAUGCCCUUACAGAAAAUAUCACUCUCGCUUUGGGCAGAGCGAGAGGAUUGUUAUUUUGAAAACAAAGCACUAAAGCAACAAGACACAUUACUCAGAAACAUGCAUGAUUGAAGGAAUGUCAAUGGCAUCCCAAUUCGUCGCAAUGCCUCCUGGUGUAACAAAUACAGGCCUGAGACCAGAUCCAGUGGCUUCUUCAGAGAUAACAUUAACAAACCCUGCACUGUGGAAGACUCCUGAGGAAACCCUUGACGAUGGAGAGAACCCGAGACCUUCUUUACGCUUGUUCUCACAGAGCUGUAUCACCUUGCCCCAGCCGGCAGUCUGACCUUCUUGGAUGGCUCUCUGAGCAUCUUUCAAUGAAGCCAUAGCAGCCCCAGCUUCCUUAGACUCUGCACCUUCGAUGGUCAAACCUUGGAAAGCAGUCCCUUCAGCAGACCCUGCUUCAACACAAGAAAAAGAAGACAACUGGCUGACUAAGUAUGCUUCUUCACCAUGGAUUGUAACGAGUUUUCCAUUCUUCACAAAUUUCAACUUCUGAUGUAAGGUGGAAGUAACCGCACCUGCAUCGUGUAUCCACGGUCUUCCCAGCAGGCAACUGUAGGAUGCAUUAAUGUCCAUCACUUGGAAGGUAACCAAGAAAUUCUCAGGGCCAAUAGUUAUCGGCAAGUCUAUCUCCCCCAGCACAUUCUUUCGAGAUCCGUCAAAAGCUUUGACCAAGAAAGUACUUCUCCUCAACGGGGUCCCACGGUAGCUCAACUGAUCUAGAGUUGUCUUGGGCAUUACAUUGAGAGAGGAACCGGUAUCUACCAACACAUUUGAUAUCAUGUCUGAUUUACAAUUCACCGAGAUGUGCAAAGCCAGAUUGUGACUCCUUCCCACUUCCGGCAACUCUUCUUCACUAAACCAGAGGUUGUUACAAGCAGUAAUAUUUCCCACUAUACCACCGAAACGAUCUACCGAGACUUCGUGGUCAACAUAUGCCUGCUCCAGCACUUUCAACAAGGUGUUCCUGUGAGCCUCAGAGCUCAAGAGUAGCGACAAGACAGAUAUCUUCGAAGGAGUUUGCAGCAAUUGAUCAACGAUCUUGUAGUCGCUCCUCUUUAUUAUUCUCAGAAUCUCGUCUAAAUUUGAAUCCUCUAUAGAUUUGCCUGGCUGAUUCACAUCUGUAGCAAUGGGUGAAACAACGGUUGGAGUUGCUUCUUUAACUGGUGGAGUAAUUGGCGUAGCUACCUUCUUCUGAAAUAACGGCGGACGAACCUUCCCGCUUCUCAGCGCUGCAGAAGUCCCUUCGGCAAUAUUGCUUACUGUGGCAAAGGAGGCUAGAGGCACCUCUACUCCAUUUUCUAUCAUAGUGGCAUUGUACUUGUAUGGCACUGCCUUGUCCGAAGCAUAAGGAAUUGGUCCUGGCAACCUUAUUACCAAAGGCUCAGCAUUCUUCUUCAAAGGUACACUCUUGACAGGCGGAUCGUGAAAAACCGGCACAACCACGCAAACAUCACUGACAGUCAGAAGAUUAUCAUUCAUCAAGCUUUGGAUGUCGUCUUGAACAGUAUAGCAGCCCAAAGGAUCACAGAGGCAUCCUAGACACUUGGCAUGAUCAUGGCUGAACAGAGAAGCUUUGCACAGCUUGAUGUGCAGAGGCACCAGAGGAGUAGCAACAUUGCGGACAUCAAGUCUAGGAGCUUCCUCACACACUUCGAUCAUAUUCACAGCGGCAUGAUUUGGUAGUGGAUUGUCAAGGACAUGUGGAACAUUGUUCUCAAAAGUCAGCUUUCCCUGAUCAAUGAGCUUCUUCACGAUAUACUUCAAAGCAUAACACCCCUCGACAUCAUGACCUAAAGCACCUUGAUGAAAGUCACAUUUGAGAUCAGACCUGAACCUUGGAGGCAACGGAUCAGGUGGGGGCUUACCCUGUCUAGUUGUACAAUGUCCUCUCUGGAGUAGAGUUGGAAGCAACUCAGCAUACAACAUUGGUAUAGGAGGAAAAGUUGGCCUAGUAUACUGCUGCUGCUGCUGUUGUUGUUGUUGUUGAACCGGCAACUGUUGUUUCAUCUGUUGGGCAAUUGCAUUGACGGGCACUUGAGGCUGGCCCGGUGGCAAAGGGUACUGAUGAUAAAACGGUGGGAAGAACGGAUGCUGAGAAUACGGCAUAUAUGGGUAUGACGGAGGCAUUUGAGCUGCAUUGAUAGGAGCAACGGUAGCCAUAGAUUGACCGGCUGCAGCUGACACCAUUCCCACUUCCGUUUCUUUCUUCUUGUGGUGUCCAUUACCAUACCUCUUCGAUGCACUCGUAGAAGAUUCAGCUUUCUCAAACACAAUGAUCCCAUCUCUGACUGCUUCCUCAAGACGGGUUCCCAUGGUGACCAUCUCCGAAAAGUUGUUCGGGGCAGCAAUGAUCAUUCUCUCAACAUAAUCUUUCUUCAAGGUCUUUAAGAACGUCUGGGUCAUUUCUUCUUCAUCUAAAGCAGGAGUGAUACGGGCAGCUGCCCCUCUCCACCUUUGCGCAUAUUCACGGAAACUUUCCUCCUUUUUCUGAGAUAGGGACCUGAGAAACUCCCUAUUCGGCUUCAAACGAGUGUUAAACCCGUAGUGGCUCCUGAAAGCGGUGGCCAGCUCAUCAAAAGUAUGGACAUCGUCUUUGCUCAGACUAGUAUACCACUCCGCAGCAUCUUCCAUCAGACUGUCUUGGAAGUAAUGGAUCAUAAGGGAAUCAUUGUCCUUGUAGUUGCCCAUUUUCCGGACGUAUUUGACAAUAUGAUUUUGAGGACAAGUCAGCCCGUUAUACUUGUCGAACUCCGGGACUUUGAACUUUUUUGGAACAUCUACCUUCGAUACCAAGCAGAGGUCCUGGGUUUUAAUGGAGUCUCCAUUUCCCCUGUUGGCCUUAAUUUCCCGUCGGAGCUCUUUGGCAAGUUCUUCCAUUCUCUCUUCCAUAGUUCCGGUUGUGGUAAUACUCCCGUGGUGUGCGUUGGCAUGGACAAAUAGAGGCACCGCAUUCACAAUGGGCUCGGUAACAGUUGUUGCAGCUUGAGUCAAGGCGGUACUAAUAGGAGUUAAGUUUGCCCCUGGGAUUGGGCCACUGUUGGUAGUACCAGAGGUCCCUGCCCCUGUGUUAGCAGUAUAGUACAGCGGAAGUCCGUAAGGAUACCCGGAUGGCAUGAUAGAGCGGGGAUCAGUUGUUACAGUAGGAGUCACAUUUGCAGCUGUAGAAACUACAGGAACUGGUUGUUCCUGAGCAGCCAACAGAGCAGUCAUAGCAUCAUGAGCUUUGGCCAAUUCCUCCCUUAGAGAUGCCAAUUCGGUACGAAGCUGUGUGUUCUCUUCUUCCAUAGCCCUUUUCUUUCUUCUGUAUUCUCUGGUUCGAUCAAUUCUAUCAGGUUCGUAAACUCUCUGAGCACGAGCCACUUUUCACACUGCGGCAGAGAAACCAGGAGGUGGUAAGCACUUGGAAGCCUUUGUGACCAAUGCAUGAUGCAUAUGAUGCAUGAUGUGCAAAUGCAAAUGCAAAAGACUUAUUUUCUCAUCGAAGGAUUUUUAAACAAAUUAGAAAUCUUGCAAAUAAACAAAACUACAUAGUAUUCUCAACAGAAAGACUUUGAAAUAAACAUAUGAAGCCCUCAAGCAUAGGAAGCAGUCGGAAGAUCAUCGGACUCGGAAUCUGAAUCACAGUAUCUGGCAAAGAAGUCUCGUCGUCCUCUGGCUCUCUUGGAAUCCCUCAUAAGCAGCUCGUCUUUCUCUUCCAAUUCCCUCCGGGCCUUAGCUAGCUCUUUCUUCAACAUUAAAUUCUCAUGAGUCUUCUGCUCAUCUCUACCAUCCAAAGUCAUGAUUAGAUUCUCGGCUUGAUUAUACCGAGCUUUCCACACUUGCUUCUCACGACUCUCCAUAGCUAGAUGCUCCUGAUACAUAUCCUGAGUCGCGGGGAGUAGAGGUAGAGGCAUAGAUGGAGUAGACGAAGACACGUAUCUCAUAGCUGGAUAAGGCAUACCAAUCUCCUCAGCUCGAUCUAUCACCCACUGAGUAUAGGCCUCAUGAGCAACACCGGAUCUCACACCUAGAUGCUUCACACUCUUCCUUCGAACCUUGGACCAAGCAUCCAUGAAAGCUUUCCUUUGUCCGGUAGGAGCAUUCGCAUAGAAGAAGAACUCUGGAGAUGUAGCAAGAUUGAUGGGCUUCGACUUCAUAGGGAAACCAAACUGUCUCAUAGCAAGCUCGGGAUUGUAGUUAAUUCCUCCCCGAGUACCAAGAAGAGGUACAUUGAGAAAGUCUCCACAACCCAUAAUGAUUUCCUUCACUUGAGCGGCAGGAGUGAGCCAGACGACCUCAUUAGGAGUGAGGGCCAUAAUCCGCUGCGAGUAGGACCAGUUCUCCGAGUUAUCAUGGAAGGAACUCGGAAGGUGCGAAAUAAACCACCUAUACAAAAGAGAUGUGCAGCAAAGAAUAUACCCACGGCCCUUGAGAGUCCUGUCAUGAAUGGCGUGGUAAGUAUCCGCUAGCAAAGUAGGAACCGGGUUCUUGGAAUGAAAGAUCUCGAUAGCAUUCAUGUCCACGAAGUUGUCGAGGUUCGGAAAGAGAAUGAGCCCGUAGAUAAGCAAAGCAAGAAUAGCCUCAAGUGUAUCCUGACGAGUAGUACCGAGAUUAGCCUGAUCAAGAAGAUACUUCGAAGUAAACCCCCGGAUGUGAGACUUGGUAAUAAGAUGGUUGGAGACGUCGGAAGUCUUGAGGUAGAGAUCCUUAGCAAUAACCAGAGGAGUAAGAGGAGUCCCAGGACCGGUGAAAGGCGUCUUCUCGGCUAUAGGUAAACCCACUAGAUUGGAGUAAGCCUCAAGAGUAGGAACCAACUGGAAGUCCGGGAAAGUGAAGCAACGGAAGCUCGGAUCAUAAAAUUGCACCAGAGUGUGCACUAGCUUCUCGUCCACAUCGGUUCGGAGCAAAGUAAGCAAUCCCCCAUACCGGAGUCGGAACCCUGUUUGGCUCUUGACCUUGAGCGCCAACUCUCUCAAACUAACCAAAUCCACUUCCUUGAACUUGUAGCACUUAGUCUUCUUCAUACCUGUGAUUAUUUACAAAAAAUUUCCAUUUGUUUAAGUCCUUCGAUGAAUGCAUGAAAAAUGUUUAUGCAUGAAUGCAUGUAUGCAUGAUUGUGUUGUUUAGUUACAAUGUGGGUUGAGAUUCAAAGUAACAAGGCCACGGAUGGACACGGUGUCCGGUGAACUAAGGCUUUGGAUAGUAGUAACCAAGGUUCUAACACAGUUCCCAAACUGCAACCUCUCUCACAUAUAUCAUGGUAGUACAGGACGACACCCGUUCCAUGUUUAUUUGUGAGAAGGUCUAGCUUGAGUGUAGUAUCGCGUGACGACUAAAGUUUGAGACAACACUCAAUUUAGCCACCGCACUACGUCCUAAGAAGGCUAGGAUGGGUUUGGUAACUACGGUUCAUAGCUUCGUCGAACAAUUGAAAGUGAAGUGCCUAAGCAUGACAACACACGCCGACAAUACCACCUUCAAAAUGCCUCAGCUAUGUGAGAUUGAUCGCAUAAUCCAAUACACGAGGCAACCCCCGGAUCGAAUUGUCGAUUAUAUCUCUACCUAAACAUAAGUUCACUCAGCCCGGGUAUAGGACUUUUGAUAUUCUCACCCCACACGUCAAAUGAAAAUAAACAAGUAUUCACAUGUGUAGGCAAUAAAAUAAAGCAUAAAUAUACACUAAGGAAAACUAGGCGCGACCCGCUAAAAAGAAUUUCCCCAGUGAAGUCGCCAUUUCUGUUAUCAUGGUUUUUGGGUGCCAAGCCAUUAAUUGGACUUGUACCUUUCGACCGUUGAUAUCUCUAUUUUUUCUUGGGAAGGGCAAAAUUGAGAAAAAACCCUUAGAUUCUAAGUUCGGGGGUCGGUUUUACUACGGGAAGGUGUUAGGCACCCGGAGUAACUAUAGUCCUCUAUAGGAGCCGUUUUCCUAAGUCUAUAUUCACGCUUAUUUUUACUUACUUUUGAAGAUGGGAGGUUUAUUUAGUUAAGAAUGAGGGGAGAGAAGUUGUAAGACUUUUUAAUUUUAUUUCGGCUUGGAUGAGUUUUGACUCAUUGCCUACGUACCGUUUUACGGGAUCAAAACCGGCGUAGUUCUUGCUAAAAAAAAGACUUGUUUUUCUUUUGUUUUAAUUGUUUGAUUUUAAGUUUUAAAAAAAGGUUUUGAAGAAGGAGAUUGGGAGGCUUCAUGAGCAUUAGAUUUAGCAAAAAAGGUGAGGUUUGAUUAGUGAUUUAGAAAGAAAGUCUAAAUGAUUAAGAUGAAUUGAAUUUUUCUUAAGAAAAAAGAGAAAGGAAAAAAAAAAUGAAGUGUUGACUUCAUACUUAUUAUGAAAAUUUUUGAAGUGAAGUUCAAUUGCUUUUUUUGAAAAAAAGAUGGAUUUUCCCUAAGUGUUCAAACCUAAGCGCUUAUCUAACCAUACAAUCCUAUGCAUACAUCUAAGGUGAGUGUGUGCGUGUCGGUGCGUCAUAGUGUCCAUAGUCCAUAUUACAAAAAUUGCCUAAAUACAUUCUAUGGCCCCUUUGCCAAGCUACAAACCAAUGAUAACAAAUUACAUUACCAAAUGAAUUAAAACUUGCAAAAAAAACAAAUGCUAGGCUAAAAAGUGGAGGGAAUGCUGAGUUUUUAUGGAGAUUCUGUUAGGUUUCUUCGGAAACACUUGGAUUUGGCUUUUGCUUGUUGAUUUCUGGCUUUGAACCGAAAAUAAAUCGGUGAUUCUUCUUUUCUCACUGAUUCCGUUUCUUCAUCUUCUUCGCCGGCUUAAAACCUUGCUUCUUUCCCUUUUCUUCUCCUUUUUCAACGCCUCUGUGAUCGGUGUUGGAGUUCUUCGCCACUGGGGAAGAAUUCUCACCUUGAAUUGCAGAGGGAUCAACUCAGUGAUGAAGAUUCGCCAUUGAAUCUCUGAGAGUUUGAUGCAAAAAUCAAUGAAUUUGUGUAUGAAUUUUGGUUCUGGAAAUUUCUAGGGUUCUUGUGUUCUUGAUGAACUUGAUGAUUUUUCUGUUUCUGAUCUAACUGAAUGGAGAGAGAAAGUCUCAUUGUGUUUGUUGAGUUGGCGUGUGAUUAAUGGCUUUGAAUCUGACUCACUGUUUAUAUAGUUGACAUGUGUACACUUGAGCCAAUGAAAUUGUGACACGUACCCUGGACUUGCUCACUUGGGCGCUGCUUGCUAUUUUAAGGACCAAUCUGCAAAUUGUGAAAAUGACAAGGACUGGACUGCAAAAUUAAAAAAAACUUGAAAUGAAAUAAAUAAUAAAAAAACAGUUUGGACAAAAAUGCAAUUUUGGGACCUCAAUUGAGGGACCAAAAUGCAAUACAAAAUAAAAUUUGAAUAAAAAACGUAAUUUGACCAAACGUAAAGUGAAACAAAAAUAAAAUUGACAAAACGGACUAAAACGAACCAAUGGCCUAAAUGAGGUACUUCAAAGUAACCUCCCCAUGCCAAAAUUUCAUGUGAAAUGACCAAAAUGCCCCUAGGGCUAAAAAUGACCUAAACUGACUCAAACAGACUUGACACUGACUUAGAUGCAAGUUUGAAAUGAAUUUAAACAGGGUUUACUGACGAAAUGUCAAAAAAUGAAUUUGAAAAGACUCGGAGAUAGUCACAAGGAUAAAGAUGGGUCCCACUGCAGGAAAUGACCAAAAUACCCUUCUGUAUGACCUUUUGCAAAUUUUGAAAUAAACUGUAGAAAAAGCAAUGUAAUGAUUCAGAGGCACUUUUGAAUGACUUACAAGACAAGUAAAGACAUUUUGAAAGGUUUUAUGCAAGAAAAACAUAGGUAAAAUUGUGAUUGAAAAUACUGCGAAGCAGAGACAAUUUGAACUGUGCAGUUGAAAUUUGAUAAUUGACAAAGUUUAAAAUGAAAUUGGGCCCAGUAUUUUUAGGUCCAAAAACAGGGUAUAACACAUCCCAUUUAGCAUUCCCUCCACUUUCUUUAGCCUAGCCUUUAUCUUUUGCAAGUUUUAAUUCAUUUGGUAAUGUAAUUUGUUAUCAUUGGUUUGUAGCUUGGCAAAGGGGCCAUAGAAUGUAUUUAGGCAAUUUUUGUAAUAUGGACUAUGGACACUAUGAUGCACCGACACGCACACACUCACCUUAGAUGUAUGCAUAGGAUUGUAUGGUUAAAUAAGCGUUUAGGUUUUAAACACUUAGAGAAAAUCCAUCUUUUUUUCAAAAAAAAAUAAUUGAACUUCACUUCAAAAACUUUCCUAAUAAGUAUGAAGUCAACACUUCAUUUUUUUCCUUUCUUUUUUUCUUAAGAAAAAUUCAAUUCAUCUUAAUCAUUUAGACUUUCUUUCUAAUCACUAAUCAAACCUCACUUUUUGCUAAAUCUAAUGCUCAUGAAGCCUCCCAAUCUCCUUCUUCAAAACCUUUUUUCUCAAAACUUAAAAUUAAACAAUUAGAACAAAAAACAAGUCUUUUUAGCAAGAACUACGCCGGUUUUGAUCCCGUAAAACGGUACGUAGGCAAUGAGUCAAAACUCAUCCAAGCCGAAAUAAAAUCCAAUUCUACUUCUUCUCACCCCCAUUCUUCACUAAUCAUACUUUCUUUUUUACAAAUAAGCAAUAAAACUAAAGCGUAGAAAUAAACUUAGGAAAGCGGUUCUUAUGGAGUACCAUAAUCGCUCCGGGUGCCUAACACCUUCCCGUAGCGAAAACGACCCCCGAACUUAGAAUCUAAGGGUUUUUCUCAAUUUUGCCCUUCCCAAGAAAAAAUAGAGAAUAUCAACGGUCAAAAGGUUCAAGUCCAAUUAAUGGCUUGGCACCCAAAAACCAUGAUAACAAUAAGAAACUGAAAUAGUGUAUUUUGUUUAUAACCCUCCGUCCCAUAAAAACCGAGCCAUUUGCAAAAAAAUAUUGUCUCAGAAAAAUUGACUCAUUUCACUUUUCAAUACAAUAUUAAUUACUUUUUUUUUCCUUUCAAUUAUAACACUAAUUAAUAUUACUUUCACCACUCCCAAUUUAAUAUAUUCUAAUUUGCAUUUAUGAUAAAGAAGAAUGCACCAAUAGUUACUCAAAACCAUUUUUCUCUCUCUUUUUACUUAUACAUAUUUUCUUAAUAAGUGUGAAAUGAGCUAAGAGCUGAGCUCGAGCUCAGUUAAAAUGGGACGGAGGAGGAAUGUAAUUCAAAGUAACUCAAUUUUAUGCUAUUUAUUUAUUUAUGCUGAAGCCUCAUUAUAAUAGUAUAUAGUGAUAUGUGUGAGAAGCAUAGGAAAAGUACAUAUGGUGAUGAAUGAUGGAACAAGCUUAAAGUCAUAAUUAUUAUUGUUCAAUCAUAAAUAGAUGGUCCCCCAAUUAGAAAAGUAUUUAUGAUCCCCCAUUUUAAAAUGACCCUCGUCCUUUUUUAGAAUUUUAAUCUUAAUAAUGGUGAUAUAUCAUAAUUAAAUGGAUGCAUUUAGGAAGUUUAUAAAUAAUUUUAUAGGUAUUGAUGAUUUUACAUUAUCGGAUCGUAUGACACAUCAUUUAAAAUAUGUCAUGUUAUAGUUUUUUAGUUUAAAAAUAUGAAGAAAAAGAUAUGUCACGUCAGUACUUUUGAGUCCAAAAAUAUAAAAAUAGGCCAAAACGAAUUAUUCUAAAAUUUGGGACAAAUUUCAUGAAAAUAAAGACCUAGAGUGUAGUUAAGACUUAUAACUAUUUUAAACAUUCCUUAAAAAAACUAAUCUAUAAAAUGACAUACGAUUAAUUAUAAAUAUGAUUGACAUAUACUCUAAAAAAGGAAAUGUUUGCAUAUGGUAUUUUAAACACCGUUCUCGUGAACUUAACUCAAUUGAUACGGACAAUGCUUAAUAUGUGCAAGGUCUAGGGUUUUAACCUUGAUCACAAAAAAAACACCAAUAUUUUUUUUCGGGGAUAUUAAACACCAAUAUUCUUUGGAUACUUCUACCCUAAUAUCCAUUACUAAAGUAUUUUAAAUUAUUUAUUUAAUUUUUGUGUGGCUUUUGAUGGUCUAAUCCUAAUUUGUAGAGCAACAUGCAAAUAAUUGGACUAUAAAAGUUACGUGCACAAUUUUUCAUCAAGAAUUUUUUGGCAGCACGCAUUGAAAAUUUGUGUCUCAUUAAGAAUUUGUUAGCACUACGCAUGCAUAUUCUUUUGGGCCUGUCAUCCUGUGUAUUUUCAUUUUCAACAGUAAUUUGUCGGCACUACUAAGCAUCUAUAUCUAUCUUUGUUUUGAAACAGCAAAACUUAUAAAAAAAUCCACUCUUUAGACAAAAACGAACAAAUACCGACAAUUCAAAAACUACAAAAUAAAACGUCAUAUGUAGGCAGAACACAAAAAAAACACCAUAACAUAUCUCACCUCACCAAACAAAAACCUACGUUCAACCGCCAUAAGAAAACAAUCACCAAACCCAACUUCAUCACUCAAACCAAACUCCAUCGCAAACGACCACUGAAAACAAAAUCCAUAAACAUCCAUCGUCCGCUACUCACCCCAAUACCUCCAAAAACCAUCUUAAACAUCAUCAUCUUCUCAUCACCAUAACCUAGCCCAAUUUAACACCCGAAAAGUCCUAUUCCAACUCUCCUUCGGGUUCUACCACCCCUCAUCCCCUGGUCCACCAAAGAAAACAUCAUAAAUAUCCCAAAAUAAACUUGACUCACCGUAUAUUUAUAUCUAUAUCUAUAUCUAUAUCUAUCUAUAUAUCAAUUAAUUCAGGCUCUCAAGUUAUAUCUAUUAAUUUAGGCUCUCAAGUUAACCUCUUCACAACUCACCAUGUUAUAUAUAUCAUAUAGUCUAAUUUUGGCCACAUCAAAUAAAUUCUAAUGUGACAUCUUCCAAAACACACCAUUCCUUAUUCUCUCGUUGCCUUGCUUCAUAAUUUAUGUAUUAUUACAUCUCAUUCCCUUACGAAUUCACAAUUAAAUGACGUUUACUACAUGUCAUAACUCUCAUGUAAUAACGUCAAAUAAGAUGCAUGACCUUAAAUGUCAAAUCAUUAUUAUUAUUAUUAUGAGAGAAGAAGUGAAUGAAUAAUAUUCUCAUUAUUGAUCAAAUGAUAGAGGUUACAACUUAUAUAGUCAUGGUCUAGGAAUACAGUAAUACAAUAGUGGUAACAUCGAAUAUAAAAACUAAGAUAGCUAACUCUACUUGAUAAUAACUCUCAUGUAAUGUCAAAUAAGGUGCAUAACCUUACAUGUCAAAUCAUUAUCAAAUUUAUUACGAAAUUAAUCAAGAACCAAACCUUGAUCCAACAUGGAACUCAAUCAACAAUCAACCCACUUAUUUUGUCGUUAACAUGUUUGUAUGUUUUUUUCUUUUGUUCUCUUUGUAUCAUUUGAUUAUUACUUUAUUGUUUAGAUUCUUUAGAUUGAAUGUGUUUUUUCCUUCAUCUCCUAUGCAAUUAAUAUAUGGACAUGUUUUAAUUCGGUAAUAACGGUGUGCUCAUCAAAUUGGCAAAAUGUUUCCACAUAAAAAAAAAUAAAAAAAUAAAAAAUGUAGCGGUUCAUGUCUAAUAUGAAUCCGGUUAAUAAAAUAAUAUUUUUUUCUCUCCAAUUUUUGCUAAACAUAGGACACCAUUGUUAUUUUUUGCAUGUUAUUUUUUAAGCGACACGUUUUAUAGAUUUUUUUUAGGGAACAUUGUAUGGAAUUUUAGGAAAUGGAUCUCGCCAACUUAAUUUUUUUGUCAGGUUGUCUAGUGGUUCGAGUUCACACAUAUUAGAGAUAUAUAGUUUAGUUACAAGUAGUACUAGUCCUGGUAGUAUAUAUAGUUGUAACCACCUCAUAAGUGGGAUACUUUUCACUCAUUAGUAAUAUUUCAUUUCUAUCAAUACAAAGAGUUUGUUAGAUUUUGCUCCUUCGAUCUAUGGAUGCCAUGUUUCCUAACAACACAUUUUAAAUGUGGUGAAAUAGAGUAUCCGAGUUUAAACCCUAACCCCUACAUAUAUUAUGCGAUGUCCUUAUCAAUUAAGCUAUGUUCACCGGAAUAUUUCUUUCUGUUUUCACAUCUCAACCAUCAUAUAACCUCUCUCUCAAAUUCCAAUAUCAAUGUCAUCUCCUCUUUAUAAUUUAAUGGUCUAGAUUCCCACACUAAUUCUUCAACUUCUUUUUUACCAUGUAUCAUUUUUGUCACAUCACUUAUUUUUCAACAUGCAAGACUUUAUUCCAUUUUGCAUAUCCUACACUCCAUGUUUGUAAUUGCAGACGAUCUAAUUUCUCAUAAAUGAUCUCAACCUAGGAUCAUGGAUAUGGUCAAUAUCAUGGAUACCGCUAGAAAAUUCAUUUGUAGACCACAAAUGAAUUUUCUAACGGUAACCACAAAUGGAUUUAUGGUUAUAUAUAUAUAUAUAUAUAUAUAUAUAUGCGCGCACGCUGGGGGCCAUGAGUGAGAUGAGAACUGAGGGAGAAGGAUCCACAUAUGCAAUGGUUGCUAGUGAAAAUCCUUCCUUAUCUUAGUUUCAAAGGAUUUAUUCCAUUGCAUCUAUAUAGAAAAAGAGAAAAACUAAAAAUGUGUAGUUCUGUUAUUGAUCAAACAAAUAGCUAACUAAAACUAUAUUAACUAUACCCUCUAGAUGCAGACAAAUAGAAUGCUCAUAUACAUAUUCCCACCAAUAUUCUUCACUUCAAAUGAAUAUAACUAAAUGUGUCGGGGUCGUUUAGGUUUCAAAUAUCAACAUGUGUCGGACACUAAACACACAUCAAUUUGAAGUGUCAAUGCUACACACUUUAAAACCUUUGACCUAAGCAAGCUUACCAUGUCUAUUUUACAUUAAAACUGUUUUCCAUGCUAGAGUAAAACAUUUACUUAUGAUUUGUAUUUAAUUAGUUAGUUAUUCCUAACAAAACUAUAAAUCUUGUAGAAUAGAGAAGGAUGUUAGUUUAAACCUGUACACACGGCAAAAUGAUUGUUUUGCCUUAAUUUAUCCUUCACAUGAGAAUGGAAUUCAAGAUACUGUGGAAAAAACCUAACUCACCCAACUGCAAUUAUUCAAAGCUAUAAAAUUCAACUAAUAAAGAUUUAAAUACAUGCCAUAUAACUAUCUAAUUCAAUCCAUUUAAUAUUAGCAAUAACCACUAUUUUAUUUUAAGAAUUCUUGCACAAGAUAUGUUCAAUUCCAUCAUCAUAAACUGAUUACUUAUUAGCAUCAUCUCUUAAAUUCAAUGUAAUACUAAAUUGCAUAAAAAAAAGUCACUUAGGUUUGAUUUUGUUUAAGCAAAACCUCCUUAAUCACUUUUUCCAAAUUCAUGUAUGAACAACCACCAGGUCUCGUGUCCUCCUCCGCCUUCGUCUUCAUCUCAAUUAUCUUUUUCCACAUCUUCUUUCCUUUCUCCCCCUCCAUCAAUUCAUUGACCAAAUUCUCUACCUCAUCUCUCUUCACAUUGGUGUCAAUUUCCAUGCCAAUCUCCCAUGUAUUGCAAAUAUAUCUGCAGUUUGCUGGCUGAUCAGCAAAAAAUGGCCAACACAACAUUGGAACUCCAGCAGAUAUGCUUUCAGUGGUUGAGUUCCAUCCACAAUGAGUCAAGAAUCCACCAAUUGAAGGAUGGUUUAAUACUUGCUCUUGCGGGCACCAGCCCGCGAUUAGGCCUCUAUCUGAAAUUUCAUUGACAAACUCCGAUGACAAAACAACUGAGCCACCGAUGACAAGAUCGGGCCUAAUGAUCCACAAAAAGGGUUGCUUGCUAUUUGCUAAACCCCAUGCAAACUCUAACAGUUUUUCUGCCGUCAUAACUGUCAUGCUCCCAAAAUUCACAUAAACAACGGACCUCGGUUCCUUGGAUUCAAGCCAACCAAGACACUUGUUAUCUUCUUUCCAAAGAUUGGUACUUAAACUUGCCAAGUGAUUAUGUGGACUUUGACUUAAAAGUGAAGAUAAAGGGCCGAUACCACAAAUAUUUGGGAACGUCGAGGAGAGAACAUUCAUUACAUCCUUCUCAAGUUCACUAGAAGUAUUAAAAAUAAAAGCAGACGCUUUGUGAGCCCUUCCUGCUGCUUCAACGAUAAAUUCUACCAUCGAAUCAUUUGUAUCUGUAAUCCUUAUAAAGUCAGGCAGAUCCUUCAGUCGAAAGUUCUGCAAUCCUGGAAUACAAUCCACUUUAGUGUCCAAAUAUCCGUUUGUCAGAUAACUCUCAUCUACAUGUCAAAUUUAUAAAAGUUGUUAGCUGGAAAUAAAAUCUCCAUACUCCUAAUACAUGUCAUUUGAUUUUGAACACUUUAACUAUUCUACAUAUAUGAAGAAAGCAAGAAGAUUAAUUGUUACCUUUUAGUGGUAUGAGACCUUUAUCCAACAAUGUACUAAAAUGAAUAAAAGUCAAAAAUGUACAUGCAUUGGAUGGACUAAAGAAAACAGAAGGGAUUGAAAGUUCUUCAGAAGCUUGUAUGGUAAAAGACAUGCCAAUAUCAGAAACUAUGCAAGUAACUGGAGGGACAAGACCAGAUGUUGCAGAGUCAUUUAGUCUAGCAAGAAGUUCGCGGAAAGGUUGUAGGAAGUUCUUUCUGAUUGAUUUACAAAGAGCGUAAAUGUCUUGACUAACAUCGCCAUCACCAUCCGUUGGAGUUAAACCAUCCGGAAUAGUCUCAAAGCUAAAAUCAGUGAAACCAUCAAAGGCAUUUGGACCUCUUGACUUGAGCAACCGUUUGUGGUUGUAUUCAGUGUUUACAUAGGUUAUGUGAAAUCCUCUAAGGUGAAGAAGUUUUGCUAGUUUCAACAAUGGAUUGAUAUGGCCUUGAACUGGAUAUGGAAUUAACACAGCAUGUGGUUUUUUAUCACUCAUUUUUGAGUUUUUGUGUUUGAAUGUUGAGCUAAGGGAAGCCAAUGGUUUAAUAAAGAUAAAGCCAAUGUUUCUUGGAUUUGUGUAAAAGAAGAUAAGAGACAAAAGUCAAGGAAAGCAAACUCAAAUUCUAAGUAAUAUGUAACACAAUAAUUGAUACAUACUUAUCAAGUCACCACUUUUUGUUAUAGAAGGAAAACAAUUUUUCAUUAAAAAGUUUAUUGAACAAACUUAAGCAUGCCUUUUGGUUUGCGGUGGCGAGAAUUGAUUUGAAUGAAUUUGUUUGAUAAAAUUAGUAUCAGGUUAAAAGUGCGUUGAAUAUAAAAUAAUUUGUGUUUAUAUAAAUUUACGUAAAAUUGAUUUGAACUAUAAAUUGAAGACUAAAAAUCGAUUAUAAAAACAAAAUUUUGAUAUCUUAACUUUAAAUUACGAGCAAUUUGGAGACAAAAUCAAUUCUAUUUAAUUUGAGAACACAUAACCAUAGGGUCUGACUAGGCUUAUCUAAGAUCCCUAAUGUAACCAACUUGCAUCUAAUCAUAACUAACUUAUAACUAUCUUGAAAAAUAUCAAACUAAUUUUAACAAAUCUGAAACUAUAUCUAACACAUACUUGCAUGGAAUUGCAACCAUUCAGUAGAAAGAUAUUAUCAAACAAAAUCUUCAUAUGCUUUAGUCAAAAAAAAGGAAAAUCUUCAUAUGCUUGUGGACCAACUGAUCCAUACGUUUCAGUUUCAAAAUUGAACUAGAUGACACUUUUAUUCAAGUAAGUGUAAGAUAGUUCUGACAUCAAAGAUUUUUGUUGUACAAAGAAAAUAAUCAUGACCACUUAUUUAUUUUAUAAUAGUCUAUUGGCUAUUAUUUUCCAUGCUUGAAUCAGUCAGACAUUGGACAUCACAAAAAAAAAUUGUCCUUUUCAACAAAGGCUCAAGAUUAUCUCCAAAGUCACAAUUGCAUAAAAGCCAAAUUUACUUUUAUUGUGCAGAGAAAAGUGGAUGUAUAUUAUCAACACUGCCUUCCAUAAGGGCUUCGUGUCCUCUAAUUUUUUUUUUUACUAGUCUUUGUUAUGUCCUUUAUCAUGUCUAUGAGGUAUCAACUCAAUGGUAAGAGUUUGAGCUUUUAACCUCAAGGGAAAAAGUACAAUUCCCCUUAAUAACAGUGGUAAAAAUGCUCAUUGUUGUAACUUUAAUUAAUAAACCCUUAUAUUGACUAAUAGGAAUGUUAAAAUAUUUCUUGAAAUCUCAUGUUGAAAGUUUGUUCUUCUUUUCGGUUUGAUUAGUGUUCCCAUGCACUAGGCGCAGUUGUUUGUUGUUUUCAGCUUGUUGUAAUUUGUAGCUUGCGCAAGGCGAAGGAUAUAGCUGACUGAGGCGCAGGUGUGCAUCAAGAUCUAUAGAUAAGCAGGUUUUGCAUCAGUUUUCAGGGUAAAAAAGUGGGAAUUCUAAGGUAACAAAAGAGGGAAUUUGUAGGGUUAAAAGUUCACAUAUAUAGAUAAGAAUUUGUAGGGGACAUUGAUGAUUUCACACAAUUUGCAUUUGCAUCAUCGGUGAAUGUUUUUGAAUGUUCAUAGAGGAAAGAAACUUUGAAUUCAAAUGCUUUCAAAUCAAUCUAUGCAACAAGAAGCUGACAAAGUAGUGCAGAGAAAUUUUAUAAACGAGCUAAAGAAGAAUAUAAAUUUAAUAUUAUUAUGAUUUUGAAGUAUUGUCUUACUUCGAAGUAUGAACAGCAAUGUACCAUACUUAAGAACAUAGCAAGACCUAAAAUACAAAUGAUUUGUUCCUAACAAAACUAUAUAUAUUGUAUAAAAGUAACUUAUGUUUGAUUUUGUUUAAGCAACACCUCCUUAAUCACUUUCUCCAAGUUCAUGUAUGAACAACCUCCAGGUCUCGUGUACACCUCCGCCUUUUUCUUCAGCUCCAUGGCCUUUUGCCUCAUCUUCUUUCCUUUAUCUCAGGACAUCAAUUCAUUGACCAGUUUCUCCACGUCCUCCCUCUUUACAUUUGUAUCAAUUUCGUUUCCAAUCUUCCAUUCAUUGCAAAUAUAUCUUCAGUUUGCUGGCUGAUCUGCAAAAAAUGGCCAACACAACAUUGGAACUCCAGCACAUAUGCUUUCAGUGGUUGAGUUCCAUCCGCAAUGAGUCAAGAAUCCACCGACUGAUGGGUGGUUCAAUACUUUCUCUUGUGGACACCAACUUGCUAUUAGUCCUCUAUCUGAAAUUUCUUUCAAAAAUCAGAUGAGAAAACCACCGAGCCACCAAUGACAAGAUCAGGCCUAAUGAUCCAUAAAAAUGGUUUCUUGCUGUUGGCCAAACCCCAAGCAAACUCUAAGGCUUCUCUUGAGACUUAACAGUGAUGCUGCCAAAAUUUACAUAAACAACAGAUCCUGGUUCUUUUGAUUCAAGCCAUUCAAGACAUUUAGUAUCUUCUUUCCAAAGAUUACAGUCUAAAGAUGUCAAGUGAUUUUGUGGACUUUGAUUUACAAAAGAAGCUAAUGGACCAAUUGUGUAUAGAGAAGGGAACAUAGAAUAGAAAGCAUUCAUAACAUCACUCUCAAGUUCAUUAGAAGUAUUGAAUACCAUACCAGAAGCUCUAAGACAUUUAUCUGCCACUUCAGUGUUAAAUCUUAUCGUCAAGUCAUUAGGAUUUUUUGUCUUUAUUAACCUAGGAAGAUCCUUCAAUCUGAAGUUUUUCAAACCUGGGAUCCAGUCAACUUUCGUGUCCAGAUAUUCAUUUGUUAGAUCACUCUCAUCUGCAUGUCAUAAUUGCAAAAAUCAAUAGCUUAAAGUCAUAUGUAUAAAUAUAUAUCAUGGUUUAAAAUCACAUUAACAAUAAUAAUUUUGCCUGUGCUAUCAUAUUGAUAUUGCAUAUAAUCCCAAUCAAAUCUGGCUGAUGAAACCUCAAUUGUGAUUAUAGAGACAUCGCAACCUUGAUGUUCGGCCCAUAUUGUGACCGCAAAGCUUUUUUAAAAACCAUAACAUACACACAAAAACACACACAGAUCUCCUAAAAAGAAAAAGGGAACAGAAAUGAUUACCUUUGAAUGGUAGUUGACUAUUCUGAUACAUUUUAGGACUGAGCAAACAAGCCAAGAAAUAACAUGCUCUACUUGGGGAAAAAAGAACAACUGGGAGUGCAUGUUCUUCAGCAGCAGCUACUGUAAAUGGCAUGUAGCAAUCAGAAACUAAGCAAGUGACUGGGGGGAUAAGACCAGCAGUGGCAGAGUCUUGAAGUUUAGCAAGAAGUUCAUCAAAGAAGUGGUGAAAGUUCGUUAUGAUUGAUUCACCAAGAGAGUGUAGGUCUUGACUAAUAUCACCAUCACCAUCCUUUGGAGUUAAACCAUCUGGUAUAGUCUCAAAGUUAAAGUCAGUGAAACCAUCAAAGGCAUUUUCACCUCUUGAUUUAGCAAACGUUUGUGAUUGUAUUCAGUGUUAACAAAGGUUUAUGUGAAAGCCUCUUAGGUGAAGCAGUUUUGCUAUUUUCAACAAUGCAUUGAUAUGACCUUGAACUGGAAAUGGAGUUAAUUAACACUGCAUGUGGCCUUUUCUCUUCAAAGUUGGUCAUGUUUGAUAUUUUUCUUAUGUAAGAAAACAGAGAAAAAACUGAGGUGAAAAAUCUAUGAGGCCUCUAUAACAAUGAGUAAGUUUUGUUACAUAUCUAUUAUCUAUUAUAUAGUAUAAAAAAAUUCUUAAGAAUAGAAAAACCAUUUUUUUUUAAUAAUUCAAUUACUGUCUAAUUCAUGUUUAUCUAAUUUUUAGUAUUUUAAUAAUUGAGAAGAUAAUAAUAUUUUUUUUAAUGUUGACGUUCCGAUUUUUAGAGAAAAUGGGUUCUGAUAAUUUGGAGUUCGGUCGUGAGGUAAACAUCACCUUACCAAGAAUUGAGAAGAGAAUAAAAUAAAAUAUAAUAACAUGAAUCUAACUGAAAAAUGAGGAGAUUGAAACUCCGAAAGCAACGUCUGCAUGUUGAAAGGAGACCACUUUCUAUACACACACAAUGGUGUUCAGACGGGUACAGACUUGCCAAUCUAUUUAUUAUGACCAACUAAACAAACAUACGAUUUUUAAACGUUAUCUAUGCGGACAGACUCUGGACCAUUGUUCAAGUCACAUGACUUUUAAACGUUAUCAAUUUGGUGCGCUUUUAAUCGAUUUUGAGGCUAAAAGACAUCCCAAUCGUAAGAUAAAAGAGUAUUUAGUUUGGUUUGGUUCAGUUGAUUUUUAAAAUAAAAUUUAAACCAAACCAAACCAAUAUGAUUUGAGUUGUAUUGGUUGAUGCGGUUUUUUUGAGACAAUACAAUUUUUUGUUUCCAACAUUAAAAUCGAGUUAAAAAGCUAUAACACAACAUAUUUUCAAUAAUGUUUGAAACAAUGUUUUCAAUUUCAUCCAACAUUACAAUUUUAUUUUCACAAAACAAAAUAGACGAAAUUUAAAAUGUGGACAAAAAGUAAUCCUAUUAUUUAAUAAAUGUAAAAGAUUAAGAUUUAUUAUUCUUAAAAUUUUAUUUUAUAAUUUUUUUAAUUUUUGAAAUAGAAAGCAAAGAAGAAACUUAACGUACAAGGGAAAAAAAUAUGCCGUUUUAUAAAAGUUUUUAUUGAGUUUCUAUGAGUAUUGGUGUAGGUGACAUAGGUUUAAUUUGGUUAGGUGACAUAGUUUCUAUGAGUAUGUCGUUUUACAAAAUAGUUUUUUUGCAUUUUUUGGUAUAUAAGAAGAAACAUAAACUAGUAUACAUAUGAUUUUUUGACAAAAUGGAUCCUUCACAUGAUAAUGGAAUUCAAGAUACUGUGAAAGAAUUCUUAUUCACCCAACUUAACAUAUUUAAACUUGUAGGAUUUAUAUUAUAAAGUUAAUAUACAUGCCAUAUAAUUAUCCAAUAUGCAUAUAUUCAAAACACUUAAAAUUAGCAAGAAUCACUAUUUAAGUUCAGGAACUCUUGCUGAAGAUGACUUCACUUACAUCAGAACUUAAAUUCAAUAGGGGAAGAUCAAUUAAUUAUCGUUGAACUGAAUUGCAUAAAAAAGUUACUUAAAUUGAUUUUGUUUAAGCAAAACCUCCUUGAUCACUUUGUCCAAGUUCAUGUAUGAACAACCUCCAGCUCUCGUGUUUUCCUCCACUUUCUUCUUCAACUCAAUUGCCUUUUGCCGCAUCUUCUUUCCUUUCUCUCCUGACAUCAAUUCAUUGACAAGUUUCUCCACCUCUUCUCUCUUUACAUUCGUAUCGAUUUCCAUCCCAAUCUCCCAUUCAUUGUAAAUAAGUCUACAGUUUGUUGGCUGAUCACCAAAGAAUGGCCAACACAACAUUGGAACUCCAGCACAUAUGCUUUCAGUGGUUGAGUUCCAUCCGCAAUGAGUCAAGAAUCCGCCAAUUGAAGGGUGGUUCAAUACUUUCUCCUGUGGACACCAACUUGCAAUUAAGCCUCUAUCUGAAAUUUCAUUCACAAACUCAGAUGACAAAACGACUGAGCCACCAAUGACAAGGUCAGGCCUAAUGAUCCACAAAAAGGGUUUAUUGCAAUUGGCCAACCCCCAAGCAAAUUCCAACAGUUGUUUUGGUGUCAUAACUGUAAUGCUUCCAAAAUUCACAUAAACAACGGAUCCCGGCUCCUUGGAUUCAAGCCAUUCAAGACACUUAGUAUCUUCUUUCCAAAGGUUGGAACCUAAAGAAUCCAAUUGAUGAAUUUGUGGAGUUUGGUUUAAUAAUGAAGGUAAAGGGCCAAUGGGGUAAAGAGAAGGAAACAUAGAGGAGAGAGCAUUUAUUACAUCACUCUAAAGUUCAUGGAAAGUAUUCAAAACAAUUGUAGAGUCUCCAAGAACUUUAUCAGCCGCAUCAAUUACAAAGUCUAACAUAAUAUCAUUUGGAUCUGUUGUCCUGAUACUGUCAAAGAUAUCCUUUAACCGAAAGUUUUUCAAACCUGGAAUCCAAUCUACAUUAGUUUCCAAAUAUCCAUUUGUUAGAUAGCUCUGAUCUGCAUAUCAAAUGUAUCAGUUAAUAUCUUGAAGGUUAUACAUACAUCCGUACAUACAUGAGUAUUUUGUUUUCGACAAAAACAUACAUAUAUAAUAAGGUAUUAUAAAUUGAAUAAAAGUCAUUUAUUGAUGUAUAAAUUUUAAUUUUGAAGUUUUAUGAAAUUUGUGGAGUUCCUCUAUUCAAUAAGAGUUUUUAAUUUGAUGGUUGCUUUAUUGAAAUUUAGUGUCUACAUUGAGUUUUAUAUUAACUGAAACUAUAUCAAGUGUUACUCUUGGAGUAAGUUGAUUAUCUCGCACACGACCAUUUAUAUAGAUUUAAUUCAUAUAUAGAGUCAAAGUAAAAGUUUUUUACACCGUCAAUAAAUCAUAAGUGUCAGAAUAGUGUAGCAAAAUUAAUAUUAAUCUCUCUAUAAAUAUAUACUUUAUGAAGAAAAAAACUUAACUUAGUACCUUUGAGUGGCGUGAGACCUUUUUCUACAAAGGAACGUAAGUGGUGAAUACUCAGUAACAAACUUGCACUGGAUGGAAAGAAGAUAACAAUUGGUAGUGCAAAUUCUUCAGCAGCUUGUAUAGUAAAGCUCAUAAAAUAAUCAGAAACUAAGCAAGUAACUGGUGGAACAUUGGCAGAGUCAUUAAGUCUUGUAAGAAGUUCACAAAAAGGUUUAAGGAAAUUUUUUCUUAUAGAUUGAGCAAGAGAAGGUACAUCUUGACUAACAUCACCAUCACCUUCUAUCGGUGUUAGACCAUCUGGUAUGGUUUCAAAGCAAAAACCACGGGAACCAUCUAAGGCAUUUGGACCUCUUGAUUUUAGCAAUCGUUUAUGAUUGUAUUCAGUGUUGACAAAGGUUAUAUGAAAUCCUCUAAGGUGAAGAAGUUUUGCAAGUUUGAACAAUGGAUUUAUAUGUCCUUGAAAUGGAGCUGGAAUCAACACAGCAUGUGGUUUUCUGUUUGCAAAACUUCCCAUCUUUGAAAUUUUUCUGUUUGUAUGUUAUUUGUGCAAGAUAUGAGGUUGAAAAACAAGUGAUAGGCAUGUGCUUUUAUAGAGAGAAAAAAGGACAAUGCUACAAAAUUGAAAAAUAUAAAGAAAUCCAAACAGAUAAAUUCUGGGAGGUUCUAACAAAAGGAAAUAAGUUCAUUGUAUGAAAAGACAGACACAUAAAAAGACACCAAAAAUGACACUGACACGUUAACGUCAAUGAUAAUUUGAGAAAUAAAUUAAUUCAAUGUAAUUACAAUGUGUCUGACAUAAAAUUGAAAUCUUAUACAGGUAUGUUCUUGUAAACUUUCCUAUAUGACUCAUUAUAUUGAUUGAAUAUGUUUGUUGGUAUUUGGUUUAACCAAUCAAUGUGGCAUUAACAAUUCAACUGUUACUUGUUACUUAGAUGUCGUUUGAGAUUUAUUUGGGAAUUGAUAAAAUAGAAAAGUUGAGAAAAACUUUAUAUUGUGAUCCUAAAAUCACUAAUAUAACCAAAUUGAAUCUAACCAUAUCUAACUAUCUUCCAAAAUAUUAAACUAAUUUUAACAAAUCUGAAACUACAUCUAACACAUACUUGCAUGGAAUUGCAACCAUUCAGUAGAAAGAUAUUAUCAAACAAAAUCUUCAUAUGCUUGUGGACCAACUCUAUACGUUUCAGUUUCAAAAUUGAACUAGAAGGCACUUCUAUUCAAGUAAGUAUAAGAUAGUUCUGACAUCAAAGAUUUUUGUUGUACAAAGAAAAUAAUUAUGUCCACUUAUUUAUUUUAUAAUAGUCUAUUGGCUAUUAUUUUCCAUGCUUGAAUCAGUCAGACAUUAGACAUCACAAAAAAAAUAUUAGUCCCUUUCAACAAGGGCUCAUGAUUAUCUCCAAAAGUUACAAUUGCAUAAAAGUCAAAUUCACUUUUAUUGUGCAGAAUAGUGACUAGUGGAUAUGUUGUCUUCAUUAUCAAUGGUACCUUCCAUAAGGGCUUUGUGUCCUCUAAUUUUUUUACUAGUCUUUAUUUAUGCAUGUAUUAUAAUCCUUUAUCAUGUCUAUGAGAUAUGGGCUCAAUGGUAAAAAUUUCAGCCAGUAAUCUCAAAGGACAAAGUUCAAACUCCCUUGAUAACAGUGGUAAAAUGGUCAUUGUUGUAACUUUAAUUAAUAAUUCUUAUUUUCACUAAUAAGAAUGUUAAAAUAUGUCUUGAAAUCUCAUGUUAAAAGUUUUUUUUCUUUUCGGUUUGAUUAUUGUCCCCAUGCGCUGGGCGAAGCUGUUUGCUGUUUUCAUCAUGUUGCUAUUUUGUUGCUUGGAUGAGGCGAUAUAGCUAAAUGAGUCAUAGGUGUGCGUCAAGAUCUAUAGAUAAGCAAUUUUUGCAUCAGUUUUCAGGGUGAAAAUGUGUGAAUUUUAGGGUUACAAAAGAGGGAAUUUUUAGGGUUAAAAGUUGAGAGCUUUUGGAAAAAUUAUAGGAUUAGGAAACAUUUUUGUACAUCUUGGAAAUAAAGCAUCGAGUCUUUUGUCCAUCGGAAGAGAAUUGGGAAAAUUGUAACCCUUGUAUUUCUUUGUAAGAAACUCUUUGUUAGUGGUAAGCCAGAUUUGGGUCGAACUGGAUAACUUUGUUUUGGUUGUUGCUAAUAUUUCUCCACACUUCAAAGUAUUGAUGUGAGUUUUUACAAAUUCACAACAACUGGAACCCACCGUGGGAGAAAUAAGAGGUAACUUUUUCAAGUGUGCAACAUGGGUACCAACUGGGAUAUCAAUAAAUUUAUCGGAGACAACGAUUUGGGGCUGUGAAAAGUGAAGAUGAAAGAUGUGUUGAUUCAACAAAAGUUUGCAGAAGCACUGAAGGAUGAGGUUGCUCUCCCAGCUACCAUGUUACAAGCAAACAAGACCGAGAUGGUGGACAAGGCCAUGAGUGUCAUUGUCUUGUGCCACACUGAUAAAGGUUUUAGAGAAAUCGUAAAGGAGCAAUUGACGAGUCCUACAAAAUCCUUGAUGAUUUGACAACUAUUAAAGUGGAUAUUGAGGAUGAAGACACGGAUAUACUCUUAUUAUUAUGAGCAUUAGCUAGAUCCUUUGAGAACUUCAAGGAUACUAUGCUUUAUGGUAAAGAAGUCAUUGUCACUUCGAGGAAGUCCAAGAGGCACAUAACCAAGUCCAAGAACUUGAAAGUUGAUGAUAGUGGUGAAGACAUGAGUGUCUAAAGAGGAAGACGUAUAAGUUGAUGAAAUCGAGGAAGCUCAAUUGAUGGUGCAAGUUGAAGUACAAAUACUCCAAGUGUCAAACGACCGGUCACUUCAAUAAGGACAUUCCCAAGUUAGAGGACAUUAAUGAUUCCGCACAAUUUGCAUUUGCAACAUCAGUGAAUGUUUUUGAAUGUUCACGGAAAGAACCUUUAAUUUCAAAUCAAUCUAUGCAACAAGAAGCUGAUAGUGUAGUGCAGAGAAGUAUGCUUUUGAAGUAUGAUUUCCAAGACAUCCUUAAUCACUUUGUCCAAGUUCAUGUAUGAAGAAUCACCAGGUCUUGUGUCCUUCUCUGCCUUCUUCUUCUUCAACUCCACGGCCUUUUGCCUCAUCUUUUUUCCUUUCUGUCCCACCAUUAAUUCAUUCAUCAGCUUCUCCACCUCCUCUCUCUUCACAUUUGUAUCAAUUUCGAUUCCGAUCUCCAACUUAUUACAAAUAUAUCUGCAGUAUGUUGGCUGCUCAGAAAAAAAAGGCCAACAUAACAUUGGUACUCUGGCACAAAUGCUUUCCAAUGUGGAGUUCCAUCCACAAUGAGUCAAGAAUCGUCCAACUGAAGGGUGGUUCAACACUUGCUCUUGCGGACACCAGCUUGCUAUUUGGCCUCUAUCCGAAGUUCCAUUCACAAACUCGGAUGACAAAAUAACUGAGCCACCAAUGACAAGCUAAGGCCUAAUGAUCCACAAAAAAGGUUUCUUGCUGUUGGCAAAACCUCAAGAGAACUCUAACUGCUCUGGAGUCAUAACCAUAGUGCUUCCAAAAUUCACAUAAACUACAGAACCUUGUUCCUUAGAUUCAAGACAUUUCAUAUCUUCUUUCCAAAGAUUGGAACCUAAAGAAGCCAAGUGCUUUUGGGGAUUUUGAUUCAAAAACGAAGAUAAAGGGCCAAUGGCGUAAAUAGAAGGGAUCUUAAUAGAUAGAGCCUUUACUACAUCACUCUCAAGUUCAUUAUAAGUAUUGAAAACAAUAGCGUUAGCUUCAUGAACCAUAUCGUCCGCUUCAAUGAUAAAAUUUAUCAUUAGGAUCAGUAGUUCUUAUAAAAUCAAGCAGGUCCUUUAGUCUAAUGUUUCGCAAACCUGGAAUCCAGUCAACUUUAGUGACCAAAUAUCCAUUUGUCAGAUAACUCAUCUGCAUAUUAUAAUCACAAAAUCCAUUAGCUUAAAGUUAAAACUCUGAACCCCUAAUAUAUAUCAUAUUAAUUCUAAUACUACAUUCUAUGUUGUAUACAUACUCUCAGUUUCUCCAAAGGAAGAACUUCCAUAGUAAAACUAAACUAUAGUAAUGAAACUCUUCACUUCUGCAUAAUAGUCCUACACUAUCGAUAAAGAAAGAACAUAAAUGAUUACCUUUGAGGGGUAUGACACCUUUAUCAAUAAAUGUACGAAAGAGCAAAGCACACAAAAGUGAGGAUGCACUAGCAGGAAUAAUUCAAUAUCAGAAACUAAGCAACUAACAGGAGGAAUAAGAUCAUCAUUGGAAGAAUCUUUUAAGUUUAGCAAGAAGUUCACAAAAAGGGUGAUAGAAAUUCUUUCUUAUUGAAUCAUCAAGAGAGACAAUUUCUUGACUAAUAUCACCAUAACCUUCUGUCGGAGUUAAACCAUCUGGAAUAGUCUCAAAGGUAAAAUCAGUGAAACCAUCAAAGGCUUUUGGACCUCUUGAUUUGAGCAAAUGUUUGUGAUUUCGGUGUUGACAAAGGUUAUGUGAAAGCCUCUAAGGUGAAGAAGUUUUGCUAGUUUCAAUAAUGGAUUGAUAUGGCCUUGAAGUGGAUAUGGAGUUAUGCUUACUGAUAUGAGUGAGAAGCAUAAGAAAAUCAUAAAUAUAUUUGACUUUAAUAGGUCCCCCAAAUCAUUGGAAUAUAAAAGUUAGGUGCACAAUUUUUCAUCAAGAAUUUGUUUGCAGCACGCAUUGGAAGUUUGUUUAUUUUUAUUCUCAUUAAGAAUUUGUUGGCACUGCACAUGCAUAUACAAUUGUUUCUUGGUUGAAAAAUAAUAUAUUUUUCAUGGUUUAUACUAUUUCAAUUCUUUUCUUGUUGAUAGUUGAAAUGGCAAGAAUCGUUGAAAACUCGCACACAUAAGUGGAGAAGUUUGGAUUCGAAACCCCAGUUACGGAGUUGGCCUAACAAUUUUGUUCUUUAUUGUCUAUUAAGCUAGAACUUGUCGACAUUUAUUUCCUGUUUUUUAUCAGACCAUACAUGUGAAUUUGAAUUGCAUGCAAGCACAAUUUCCACGCGAUCAGAAUUAAUUCAAUCAACAGCUCGGAGUCAUUUCAUCAAAUAUUCGACGUCUCUUAUUGUAGGAUAUGUGAAUCCAUUUUAAAAGCAAACUUAAAAUUGGAGUCGUCCAAUGUUAAUCUAAUAUCUCCGAGCUGCGCUGGCUGAACAAGUGCCUAAAAUUGUGAUUGUAGACAAAGGUUGCUAGUAAAAAUACUUCCUUAUCUUAGUUUUAAACGAUUCAUUAUAUUGCAUCUAAAUAGAAAAUAGAGAAAAACAUAAAAUUUAUAGUUCUGUUAUUGAUGAAAUGAUUUCCUAAAAGAAAAAAGCUUUGAAACUAUAACCUCUACGUACCGAGAAAUAGAAUGCUCAUAUACAUAUUCCCACCAAUAUUUUUCACUUCAAAUGAAUGUAACUAAAUGUAUCGGGGUCGUUUAGGUGUCAAAUAUCAACAUGUGAAGUGUCAAUGCUACACACUUUAAAACCUUCAACCUAAGUAAGCUUACCAUGUCUAUUUUAUUUUAAAACUGAUUUCUAUUUUAGAGUAAAAUAUUUACUUAUGACUUGUAUUUAAUUAGUUAAUCCUGAUAAAACUAUAAAUCUUGUAUAGAACGAUAGAACGAUAUUAAUUUAAACCUGUACACACAGAAAAAUGAUUGGUUUGCCUUAAUUUAUCCUAUACAUGAUAAUGGAAUUCAACAUAGUGUGCAAAAGCCUUACCUACCCCAUAUAAUUAUCCAAUUCAAUACAUUUAAUAUUAGCAAGAAGCACUAUUUUAGUUUAAGAAUUCUUGCACAAGAUAUGUUCGAUACAGUCAUCAUGAACUCAUUACUUAUUCACUACAAUAGCCUCAUCCCUUAAAUUCAAUAGCAGAAGAUCAAUGGAUCAAUAUAAUACUACAUUGCAUUAAAAACGUCACUUAGGUGUGAUUUUAUUUAAGCAAAACCUCCUUAAUCACUUUUUCCAAGUUCAUGUAUGAACAACCACCAGGUCUCGUGUCCUCCUCCGCCUUCUUCUUCAUCUCCAUUAUAUUUUUCCUCAUCUUCUUUCCUUUAUCUCCCACCAUCAAUUCAUUGACCAAAUUCUCCACCUCAUUUCUCUUCACAUUAGUAUCGAUUUCGAUUCCAAUCUCCCAUGUAUUGCAGAUAUAUCUACAGUUUGCUGGCUGAUCAGCAAAAAAUGGCUAACACAACAUUGGAACUCCAGUAGAUAUGCUUUCGGUCGUUGAGUUCCAUCCACAGUGAGUCAAGAAACCACCAAUUGAAGGAUGGUUCAAUACUUUCUCUUGCGAGCACCAACCAGCAAUUAGGCCUCUAUCUGAAAUUUCAUUCACAAACUCCGAUGACAAAACAACUGAGCCACCAAUGACAAGAUCGGGCCUAAUGAUCCACAAAAAGAGUUGCUUGCUAUUUGCUAAACCCCAUGCAAACUCUAACAGUUUUUCUGAAGUCAUAACUGUCCUGCUCCCAAAAUUCACAUAAACAACGGACCUCGGUUCCUUUGAUUCAAGCCAAUCAAGACACUUGUUAUCUUCUUUCCAAAGAUUGGUACUUAAACUUGCCAAGUGAUUCUGUGGACUUUGACUUAAAAGUGAAGAUAAAGGGCCAAUAGCAUAAACAUUAGGGAACGUCGAAGAGAUAACUUUCAUUACAUCCUUCUCAAGUUCAUUAGAAGUAUUAAAAAUAAAAGCAGAGGCUCUGUGAGCCCUUCCUGCUGCUUCAAUGAUAAAUUCUACCAUCGAAUCAUUUGGAUCAGUAAUCUGUAUAAAGGCAGGCAAAUCCCUCAGUCGAAAGUUCUUCAGUCCUGGCAUACAGUCCACUUUAGUGUCCAAAUAUCCGUUUGUCAGAUAACUCUCAUCUGCAUAUCAAAUUUACAAAAGUUGUUAGUGUGAAAUUGAAUCUCCAUACUCCAAAUAUAUGUCAUAUGAACACUUUAACUACUCUACACAUAUGAAGAAAGAAAGAAGAUUAAUUGUUACCUUUUAGUGGUAUGAGACCUUUAUCUAGAAAUGUACGUAAAUGAAUACCAGUCAGAAAUGUACAUGCAUUGGAUGGACUAAAGACAACAUUAGGGAUUGAAAGUUCUUCAGCAGCUUGUAUAGUAAAGGACAUGCUAAUAUCAGAAACUAUGCAACUAACUGGACGGACAAGACCAGAUGUUGCAGAGUCAUUAAGUCUAGCAAGAAGUUCGCGGAAAGGUUGUAGAAAAUUCUUCCUGAUUGAUUUACAAAGAGCGUAAAUGUCUUGACUAACAUCGCCAUCGCCAUCCGUUGGAGAUAAACCAUCUGGAAUACUCUCAAAGUUAAAAUUGGUGAAACCAUCAAAGGCAUUUUGACCUCUUGACUUGAGCAACCGUUUGUGAUUGUAUUCAGUGUUUACAUAGGUUAUGUGAAAACCUCUAAGGUGAAGAAAUUUUGCUAGUUGCAACAAUGGAUUGAUAUGGCCUUGAACUGGAUAUGGGAUUAACACAGCAUGUGGUUUUUUA
rnacentral:lncRNA from 1 species